rnacentral:lncRNA from 1 species
CUUGGAAUACUGAACCAUAACUUCCAUUACCGAGCAACCUACUAUCAUUGAAUCCAUCAGUAGCUUGACGAAGCUCAUGGUAUGAAAAUCGUCUCCACGUUCCUAAAGGUAUCAUGUCUUCUUGAGUUGGCAAUUUGUCUUUCCUCCUCCUAUUUUGCAAGAUAAUGAUAAUCAGAGCCACAACCAAAAUUGUGGAGGCAAUUGGCAGAGCUACAUAUAUUAUGAGCUUAGUUUUUGCCUUGGAAUUUCUAAGAGGUCUAGUUUUGCAGUUUGGAACAUGAAGCCGAGCUGCACCACACAAGGCUUCAUUCCCCUUAAAUGAUUCGAUUGAGUAGUUUUCAAAUGAUCCUCCUUCAGGAAUUUCUCCUUCAAGCCUAUUAAAAGAGACAUUGAAAUAUUUGAGAUAACGGAGUUUCUCUAAGGAUUUGGGAAUCUCUCCAGAUAGAUUAUUUCUUGACAAGUCCAAGAAUUCCAAACUCAACAAUUCAUCAAAAGACUCAGGAAUAGAACCCAUGAUUCUAUUAUUGGGUAAGGAAAAACCAGUGAGGUCCUUGAGAUCUGCAACUCCAGUUGGGAUAUCACCUGAGAACUGAUUGUUCGACAAAUCCAAACUAGUCAAAACUUUCCAUUUUCCAAUUUCAAUUGGCAGUGGACCACUUAGAGAAUUUGAAGACAAGUAUAGGAUGAGGAGAUAGUUAAGCCUUGUCAACGAGGAAGGUAUUGAGGAGGAAAACAUAUUGGAAUCUAGACCUAGUUGCCUUAAUGAAGUGAGAUCACCUAAGCAAGCAGGUAUUUGUCCAGACAAUUGGUUAUUGGUCAAGAACAAGAAAGCCAAUUUGUUUAGAUGACAUAACUCAGAUGGGAUGGAUCCUUCUAACUUAUUGUCUUCAAGAGAAAGACUUUGCAACUCUUCCAAUCCACCAAUUGUAGUGGGAAUCUGUCCUAUCAAUUUAUUGCCUCCAAGAUCAAUGCUUAUCAAGUGACUUAAGUUUCCAAUUUCACUAGGGAUGAUACCCCUGAUGCUGCAUUCCCUAGCAUAGAACACUUCAAGAGAACUUGAGAGAUUUCCUACCACUCUUGGAAGUUCACCACUAAUGAAUGGGUUGCUACCGAAAAAAAGCUUCUCCAAGACUCUACAGUUUGUCAAAGAAAAGAGAAAGCUCAUUCCUAAGGAAGUUAAAUUAUUCCAAACCAGGUUGAGAAACUUUAAAUUUCUUAGAUUGCCCAGAUUAUCAGGAAUGGACCCUGAAAAGUAAUUAUUAGACAUGUCAAGACGAGUAAGCUGAGAGGCAUUGGAAAUAGACAUUGGGAUCGAGCCGACAAGUUGAUUGACAUCAAGAUAUAAUUCCUCCAUGUUUGGAAGGAAAAGGCCCAUGUUUGAUGGAAGAUGGCCAGAGAGCUGAUUUGUCUCCAAAGAAAUCACCCUUAGAGUUGAAAUAUUAAAUACUUGUGGAGGAAUAGAACCAGCAAUAUUGUUAUGUUCCAAAUUCAACAAUUCUAGAUUCUUUAGGUUGCCAAUCUCACGUGGUAUUAUACCUGCCAUAAAUUUUAUCAAAUAGAAUUAGACAAAUAUGAGGAAGAAAAUAGUUUAUAUAUAUGAAACAUAAUUUGCUUAUCUUUUUUAUAAUGUGUACAAUUAUAAGCAAUUAGUGUAUCAAAUAUGAAUCAACAAUAUUUACAAAAAAAAUUAAUUCACAAUAAAAUUGUUUUUAUAGAGCUCUUGCAAAUAUUAAAGUACUUCAAGUAAUUUUAAAUUGAAGUUUUUAGGUUUAAAGUUGGAAUAAGUUCAAAAUGAGAAGGGAUUGUAUGAAAUUGCGAUUCUACAUCAUCUUUAUCCCUUAUUAAUAGGAGAAUGACAAAUCAGAUUUUUCCUCUUAAUUUUUAGCUUUUUCUUCUUGAAAAAAAAUUAAAAUCCAACUAAAAAGUUAAAAAUCAAGAGGAAAAAUCUGAUUUAUCAUUCUCUUAUCGAAAAGGGAUAGAGAUUACGUGGAAUCACAGUUUAAUAUAAUCACUUCUCGUUCAAGAUAUAGAAAAUAAUGAUGAAAUAAAUGAUAAAGAACAAACAUUCAUAAGUCAAAUAAAAUAAUUAAGAACAUAAUGAUGAAUUAAAUUUGUUUUCCUUUUAUCUGAUUUGAUAAAUUUAAAAAUUUUAAGAACAUAAAAAUAAAUCAAAUAUGAUUUUUGGUUCCUUGGAGUUUUGUUUGGGGCAAAUCACCAAUAAAAGCCGUUUUUUUUUAAAUUUACCGAAAUGGGCCGAUUUUUUUAUUAUUUAUCGGAAUGGGCCGUUUUCCGCGAAAUCGCGUCCACGUCAGCGCGAUGUCAGGGUACGUGUCAGGACAUCGCGUCCACGUCAGCGCGAUUUGCUGACGUGGAAGGAAAUCGCGCCCUCUAGGACGCGAUUUGCUGACGUGGCAUGAACAGUUUGUGUUUUUAGCUUGGAAAACUUUGAAAGGCCAUAACUUUUUGCUCGGUUGUCCGAUUGAGACGAUUUUUUUUAUUUCGAAUAACUUUUUGAGAUCUACGCGCUGGCAAAUAGCCGAAGGCGGUUUGCCGAAGUUUUCGUCAAAAAAGAUCAUUUUUUGCCCCUAAAUUUUGAUUUUUUCGGUUUAAAAUUGAAUUUUGAAACAUUCAAAUCGUUAUUUUCCUCAUUUAUUUAAAGUAAACACCGGAUCUUUUUUUACAGAAUCGUUGUAUUAUUUUUUCUGAUUUGACACGUGUAUGGAAUAGGUCCGAUAAAUCGUUAGAACGUAAGUAAUAUAAUUAAGAUAAUAGCAGUAUUUCUAUAAUAUGUCAAUUAAUUAGUUUGGCUUAGUUGGUUAAGAUGCUUGCUCCUUUCUUUUAAUACAUUGGUUCGAAUCUUAUUGGUAACAAUUUUGAAUCUUUUUUGUACUUAUUGCAUUUAACCAACUAAGUCAAACUAACCAACUAAGUUUGAUAUUAUUGACAAAGCAUGGAAAUGAUGUUAUAGUAGAGUUUUCUUAUACAAGGUCUUAUGUUCGAUCGGAAAUAUUAUAGAGAAAGGGAAUAAGGGAGUUAUAAACUUAGUAAUCAACAUCUUGCACCAAAACAGUUUUGGACAGCAGCAGUAGGUUAACUUUGAAAAAUCACCAUAAAUUGUGAAAAUCGAAUUAGAGGAUGAACAAAAUAUGGAAUUAAAUCUUAUUGAGUCUAGUUUCUCAUAAAAGAAACAGUGUAAGUAAUGGAAUUGUAAAUCAUUAGAUAUAAUAAAUUUUGUGAGACAAGUUCAGAAUGAAUUCGGGUUCCCCUGUUCUGACUUUGGAAAAUCAUAAAAAUUUGGAUAAAAAUGAUUAGGGGUUAAAAUUUACAUGUUUAAAUUAUUAAUGAGUCUAUUUUCAAUAGAAACAAAGAGAAAUAUCAUCCAAAUUUGUACUAAGAGAUAAUUAAUUUUUAGUGAAGAAGGGUUAAAACUGUCAGAUAGAAGAAUAGGGAUGACUUUAAAGAAUAAACUGUACUUAUUUGCUAAACCAAAAAUUAUGAAAAUUUUAUGGUAAGAAGAUAUGUGAGCGUAGUUUCAGAGAAAAUUAGCGGAUCUUAAUUCGGAAUUCUGUAGCUUAAGAUAUAAUUAAUUUAGUGACUAUGACUCAAGUGAACAGCUUGUUAUGAAUAAACAAGUAAAUAGUAUUAUUAUGUAUAUAUCAAGGAUGUGGAAUGGAGAGGAGGAAAAUAUAUGAAUAUUUUGCUAGCAUGGGUUUGCAUUAAAAAUAGUUAAUUUGCAUGAUUUGGACUCAUGGACUAAAUAGAAUAAAAGUAAAAUUUUAGGGGCAAUUUUGUAAAAAUAUCAAAAAUAUCAAAUUGCAUAAAAUGAAUUGUUUUAUUAUUUAAAUUAAUAAAUUGAAUGAAAUAUUAAUUUUAAUCAAGAUCGGGUAGAAAAUCUAGGAAAAUAGAAUGUAAUCACUGAAUUUUGUCCGGGACGAAUUUGCGUUUUUAAAAAAAAUUGCAUUUUAGCCCCCAAAUUUUUCAAAAAUUAUAUUUUAACCCUUAGGCUUUUCUAAAUUUACAUCUUGACCCCUAAUAUUUUAUAAAUUACAUUUAGACCCCUAAUAUUUCUAAAAAUUAUAUUUUGGCCCCAUAUUUUUCUAAAAUUGCACUUUUACCCCAGAAAUUUUGCAACUUCUGCAGUUUGGUCCUUCUGGACAUGUCAAAUCAGCCAAUCGGCAGUUGAGCGUCUACAAGACCUCUGUGCGGACGUCUACGGGAGCAACUCCUUUCUCCUUGGUCUACAGGAUGGAAGCCGUUUUGCCUAUUGAAGUAGAGAUCCCAUCUUUGUGAGCUUUAUGGAGACAAAACUAGAAUAAUCGGAAUGGGUUCGAGCUCGAUAUGACCAGCUAAACCUUAUUGAAGGAAAGCGCUUGAAGGCAAUUUGUCACGGACAGAUGUACCAGAAGAGAAUGAUCACGGCCCAUGAUAAAAAGGUGCGACCAAGAGAAUUUCGCGAAGGAGAGCUAGUACUAAGAAAGAUCCUCCCGAUACAGAAAGACUUUCGAGGAAAAUGGUCACCAAAUUGGGAAGGGCCAUACGUUGUUAAAAAGGCAUUCUCAGGGGGGCUCUGAUUCUCACUGAGAUGGAUGGGAAAGAAUUACCUAAUCCAGUAAACACAGAUGCUGUGAAGAAAUAUUAUGCCUAAAAAAAACAAAAACAAAAACAAAAACAAAAACAAAAACAAAAACAAAAACAAAAACAAAAACAAAAGAAAAAAAGAAAAAGAAAAAUCAAGAUGAAAACCCGAAAAGGGCGUCUUGAUAAACAAAAAGGAUUAGGAUGAAAACCCAAAAGGGCGUCCUAAUGAAAUGGGUUCGGGCUUAAAGGAGCAAAGUGAUUUGAACGGGGAGUUGAAUGACGAAGUCGCAAUAUUUGAAGCAUUCUCAGAAGCUCGAAAUCUUCUACACAGAAAGCCAUGCUCGAAAAGAUCCUUGACGAAGAAACGUGGAAAAGUUCAUGUGUUGGAUAUCCAGAGCAUUCAUGACCAUUGAAUUCACUUUCCGUUCUUUUUUAUACUUUCUUUCUUUGAACUAUUCCUUGUCAAUAUUCUUCGUUUGUUGCUUUUGAAAAAAACUAAAUGUGAGGUAUUUCUUGUAUGCCUACUUUGCCAUUUCUUCAUGCAUAUCGUGUUUGAAUCAUUUAAAUGAUAAAUAGUAAGAUGACAUACUCUAAACAAAAGGAAUGUUGAACAUUACCUGGAUGAGAAUUUGACAAGUACAAGGGCCCCAAAACAGGAACAAAGUUCAAUAAGGGGGCAAGAGGGUGAUAUACGAAAAAAUGUGGGUUACUCACCAAACUUGAAGAUGAGUACAAAACUUGAGAGAAAAGUCAAAGAUUGAAGCAAUGAAUGCAAUCUCUCACGAAAAAGGGGGCAUGUGAGAAACAGCCCAGGGGGUAUGGCAUGAUCAUGUAGGCAUAAAAGUAUUUAGGACAAACACGUCCAUAUCAUGAUAACAUUGUACAUGACAUAUAUAGGUAUCCCAGUAGAGCAAGGAAUACUGGGAGAAAGUUGCACAGAAUCAGUGAAGAAAAAGACUUCUAGUUUCAACUGAUGUUUUUUGAAACCCUGUUUCUUUCAAGAAAUAUUUUUCAAUUUCUAUUUUUUUAAUAAAAUCAACUCAUAAUGCGAGAAGUGAGUUGAGCCUCAGGCACACGCUGAGGUAUUUUUUAAAUUUCUAUUUUUUCAAAAAUCAACUCAUAUUGCGAGAGGUGAGUUGAGCCUCGGGUCAAAUGCCGAGGUAUUUCUUUUAAAUUUCUGUUUUUCAAAAAAUCAACUCAUAUUGCGAGAUGUGAGUUGAGCCUCGGACACACGCCGAGGUAUUUUUUAAUUUCUAUUUUUUGAAAAGUCAACUCAUAUUGCGAGAGGUGAGUUGAGCCUCGGGUCACAUCCUGAGGUAUUUUUCAAUUUCUAUUUUUUUCAAAAAAAAUCAACUCAUAUUGCGAGAGGUGAGUUGAGCCUCGGGUCACAUCCUGAGGUAUUUGUUAAAUUUCUGUUUUCAAAAAAUCAACUCAUAUUGCGAGAGGUGAGUUAAGCCUCGGGUCACAUCCUGAGGUAUUUUUCAAUUUCUAUUUUUCGGAAAAAAUCAACUCAUAUUGCGAGAGGUGAGUUGAGCCUCGGGUCACAUCCUGAGGUAUUUUUUUAAUUUCUAUUUUUUUUUCAAAAAUCAACUCAUAUUGCGAGAGGUGAGUUGAGCCUCAGGUCACAUGCCGAGGUAUUUCUUUUGAAUUUUUAUUUUUAAUUUUUUUAAAAAAAAUCAACUCAUAUUGCGAGAAAUGAGUUGAGCCUCGAGGCGCAUGCCGAGGUAUUUCUUUUAAAUUUCUAUUUUUUAAAAAUCAACUCAUAUUGUGAGAGGUGAGUUGAGCAUCGGGUCACACAUCAAGGUAUUUUCCAAUUUCUGUUUUUCAAAAAAAAAACUCAUAAUGCGAGAGGUGAGUUGAGCUUCGGGUCGCACGCUGAGCUUUUCUCAAUUUCUAUUUUUCAAAUAAAAAGAAAAUUUUGGACAGUCGAACAAAAUUCAGUGCUUUUAAGUCUUUGCUCUAUCUCUGUUUCACAGUGAUGAGCAAAGAGGGGCAGCUGUAAUCACUGAAUUUUGUCCGGGACGAAUUUGCGUUUUUAAAAAAAUUUACAUUUUAGCCCCUAAUUUUUUCAAAAAUUACAUUUUGACCCCUAGAUUUUUCUAAAUUUACAUCUUAACCCCUAAUAUUUUAUAAAUUACAUUUAAACCCCUAAAAUUUCUAAAAAUUAUAUUUUGGCACCAUAUUUUUCUAAAAUUGCACUUUUACCCUAGAAAUUUUACAACUUCUACAAUUUGGUCCUUCUGGACAUGUCAAAUUAGCCAAUCGGCAGCCGAGCAUGCUCCACCCACCUCCAGCUACUCCAGCAGCCUCCCUAGGCCAUGAUUGCUCCACUACCACCUGAAAACAAAGAAGAAGAAGACAAAUCAAUGAGAUUAAAAAGAAGCAAAUGAGAGAAAGAGGGGGAUUCGGUUUUGGGCAGCCAAAAAAGAAAAAAAUAACAGAGAAAUUUCAAGAAAACAACACUCAAAUUCGGCCGCUCCUUCACCAUCACUGUGCCCACCGCCGCACCAUUUCUUUCCCUCCACCACCAUUACCUACAACCCAAUUCGGCAGCCAAGCAAACAAGCAAAAAAGAAAAAAAAACAAAUUUUGAGAAAAAAGAGAGAGCAAAAACAGUAACAAAAAAGGGGCACCGCCGCCGUCGUGCUCGCGCCGCUGUACCCACCAUCGCACUCGCACUGCCCCGAUACCUAGCAAGACAACCAAUAGGCAAGAAAAAAGAAAAAAAGUAAGCAAAAAGAAAAAAAAGAAGAAAAAAAAAAGCAAAGAAGAAAAAAAGAAAAAGGGGGAAAGGGAAGACCACCGUGCGCGCCACCGUCGGCCGCCGGUGGGAAGUAGGUCGCCGUCGACGAGAGCAACAAGAGGGGGUUGAUCGGGGAAGAAAGAAAGGAAGAAAAAGAAGAAAGAAAGAAGAAAAAAGAAAGGAGAAAGAAAGAAGAAAAAAAAGGAAAAAGAAAACAAUUUUUUUAAAAUCGGGCCGAACCGACCCGAAUCUGGCUCGACCCGACUGACCCGUGACCAGACCCGGCAGUAGUUAGCAGGCCCAACAGUAGCAGAUCAGCCCCCCAAAAAAACAAAACAAAAUAGCAGCAGCAAAAAAAUAGCAGUAAAAAAAUAGCAGGCCUUUCCAGCAGCCCAAGCGCAAGCCCAAUUGCAGCAGCCAACCAGCAGGCCUCCAGGCCAGCAUGCACCAGCCCAGCAGGCCCAAGAGAAGCAGGCCAGAAAAAGAGAAGGAAAAAAGAGAAAAAAAAAGAAAAAAAGGAAAAAAGAAAAAAGGUUCAAUUUGUGUAACCCGUUCGACGUAGCUCGUGUUUCGGGAUCUUUUCGGUAAUUUCGUUUAUUUCACUUUUAAUUUCAUGCUCGUAUUUUUAUGUUAUUUAGUUUUAAUAUUAUUAGCAUUUUAUGCAUUUUUAUAUUUUUAAUUUAAUUUAAUUCCAUUCUAUUUUAAUUUUAUUUUAAAUAAUUUUAAUAAAUAAGGCAACGAAUCGGUUUAACAUAAAAUCGUUGAUUUCAUCGCUAUGUUGGGUGAAUAUCACUGGUUUGCGUUAAACUCGAUACGUCCUUUUAAAACCAAAAGUAUUCAAAAAAUUUCAUGUUUUCGAAAAAAUUCCUGUGUUUCGAAAUUUUCGUGUCUUCAAAUAUUUUUCUCGUGUUUCAAAAAAUAUUCGUGUUUUCAAAAAUAAGGCAACGAUUCGAUUUGACACUAAUUCGUUGAUUUCAUUGCUAUGUUGAGUGAAUAUCACCGGUUCUUGUUAAUACGAUACAUGCUUAAUAAAAAUAAAAAAAUUUGUGUAAUAAAAAAAAAAAUCUUUCCGUGGUUUCAAAAAUAAUCGUGUUUUCACAAAAUAAAAAAAAAAGAUUCCGUUCUUCAAAAUUCUAAUGUUUUCAAAAAAUUCUAUUUUUAAAAAAUUUUCGUGUUUUCAAAAAAAAUAAAUAUAAUUGUUUCAAAAAUCUUCGUGUUUAAAAAUAAAAAUCUCGUAUUUCAAUCGGAUCACGAUUAAAUAUUAAAUUGAACUCGUAUUUUUGAAAAUUAAGACAACAUGCGUUUAACGAGAUACCAAUUUUGGGCGUCGCGAGGGUGCUAAUACCUUCCUCGCUCGUAACCGACUCCCGAACUCAAAUUUUCUCUGGAUUUUUAGACCUAAAAUUACCUCUUUUUUAGAAAAGUUUAAAAAUAAUUUUUUCUUCUAAAAAGAGAAUUUUGUAGGUGUCCGAUCACACCUAAAGAAAAGAUCGAUGGCGACUCCUUUUUUAAAAAAAUCGAGAUUCUGUUUUCAAAUUUGCAAUAAUUACUUCGACUAGCGCACGUGCCCAAAUUUUUUGGUCGCUACAUAGAAAAUUACCAAAAUGCCCCUAUAUUUUUGUAUUUCUGUAAAUUUAGCCUGGUAAGUUCGUGUAACCUGAAUUAUAUUCUUAAAUGCUUGAAAUAUAUGUUAUUGAUGUGAAUAUGAUUUAAUUGUUCAUUGUAUGAAAAUUGAUGAAACAUUGAUAUAUUUGAUAAAAAGGGAAGAAAUCCCGGUUGAAUGAAAGGAAAAUUCGAUGGAUCUUUAAAAAAGAAUUGACUGUAAAAAGGAUCUAGCCCGGACGGGUGAUCUUAUCCUGAUAUAGCCCUCCUGAAGAAUAUAUGUAAAAUGGAUUUAGCCCGGACGGGUAAUCCGAAUUAGGGUCUCAAUUUAGCCUGGACCUGUAAUUCAGAUCCAAGCUCAUUAGAGUAAAUUGUCGUUGUAGGGGAUUUAGCCUGGACUGGUAAUCCCAACAAUACUCUUUGAGUUUAUAUUACAAGGAAUUUAGCAUGGACUGGUAAUCCCGUUUUAAGGAUGAGGUUCGCAGGAGUGUGCUCUCUGAAAUAGAAAUGUACGCACAUGAAGAAUAUGAAUUGACGAAUAAGACCAUAACUAGGUUAUGGCACUAUGAACAUAAGACCAUGGUUGGACCAUAGCAGUGUUUAUAUGUAAGACCAUAGGUGGGCUAUGGCAUUCUGACGAUAAGACCAUAACUGGGUUAUGGCACUACGAAUUGUAAAGGAUGAAUUGACGGCAAAUUACCCAAGUAAACCGAGGUUCAGCAUUCGUUGCGAACUUUCGUGUUUACUAUCUGUUUAGAUCAAUCUUUUGCAACGAAGAUAUAUUAAAGAUGGAGGAGGGUAUUGAACCUGAAAUCCGGUUUUUAGACAAGACCAAGAUCUGUAGCUUUGACAAAUAGCCUAAAGAGAAUGGAAUAGCACCUUUGAAGUUGUUGUGGUACAAAAACAAUCUUCGAAGUGCACCAUGAUGGGAUUUCUCCACUGAAGGAGUUGUUACCAAAGCUUAAAUAUUUUAGCAGAUGCAAAUUGGAUAACUGGACAGGUAAUCUGCCGUAGAAACUAUAUUACCUGUCCAGUUAUCAAUUUGCAUCGGCUGGAAUAUUUAAGCUUUGGUAACAACUCCAAUUUCCCAAGUGAGGUGGAAGGGUGCCUACGAGUCCCAACCCAGUAAGGUUUAGAGCUGUGACUCUACGGUGCUUGGAUCCACAACUUACACCAAACCAAUUGCAAACAGGGGCAGAGGUUGACCAAUUAGUUGUCAAGACAUUUUUAGGAUCAUGAAUAACAUGAUCUUUUAAUGCUAGAAGAGCUGAUUGAUCUGUAAGUAUGGUGGUUAAUAAAAAAAUGGAAGAUGAUAAGAAGAGCUAAGUUGAGGAAAGUAUUCCCCAUUUGAAUUUGGGUGUUUAUCAAGCUACCAACAAAGAGUACAGAACUGAGAUUGGUAGACAGAUAAUUGAAUGACCACACAACUUCUUUUACAUAAUAUGUGUGUAUAUAUAAAGGGAGUUUAUAUUGCAAUUUCUUCUUGCAAGAAUGCAAAUGCUUUGAAUAAAAAAGAUAUAGGUAAACUACCAAAAUAGUCACUUUUGUUUGGCUCAGGUUACAUUUUAGUCGCUUAUGUUUGAAAUGUUACGUUUUAGUCACUUAUGUUAUCACGUUGUAACAUUUUAGUCACUGAGCCGUUAGUUUCUGUUACCGGUGUAACAGUAAACUAAUGUGGCACGUUAAAUCAUCAUUUCAAACAAAAAUUCUAGGUUAAUUUAUACAAUCGAUCUCCAUAUUUUUUUCGUUUGGAGCAAUUUAAUUUUUUUCUUUUAUGUUUUUAUAACUUUCUUUCUUUUUCAUUCUCUUAUGCUUCUCCUUUUGUUUUCCUCCCUUCUCCAUUUCUUUCAACGUAGUUUUUCUAUGUUUUAUUUUUUUGAACAAUUUAAUUUUUUCGAGUGAGGCGAGCUUGUGGACUAGUUACAAAUGGAAAGCAUAGAAAAACUAUGUUAAAAGAAAUGAAGAAUGAGGAAAAUAGAGGGCGAAGCAUAAGAGAAUGGAAAAAAAAAGUUAAAAGAACAUAAAAGAAAAUUUAUAAAUUGUUGAAAAUAAAAAAAUAUAGGGACCAAUUGUAGAAUUUAACCUAAAAUUUUUGUUUGAAAUGAUAAUUUAACGUGCCACAUCAACUUGCCGUUACACCAUUGUCGACAAUUAACGACUCAGUGACUAAAAUGUUACAACACGAUAACGUAAGUGACUAAAACGUAACAUUUCAAACAUAAGUGACUAAAAUGUAACAUAAGGCAAACAAAAGUGACAAUUUUGAUAGUUUACCCAAAAGAUAUUGACUAAAAAUUAAAACAAACCAUGAAAUUUCUUUAAGGUUGAAAGAUUUUAUUUAAUUUUUUUUUGGAAUAAUAUUUUUUUUGGUCUUUUAUUUAUUUUUUAUUAUUUUAAUCUUUAAAUUUACGUUAUUUGUUAAAUUACCCCAAAAUGGAUGGAAAAGUUAACUUUUAUUAAUUUUGCUGAUGUGGCAUACAUAUGGAUUGUCACGCGAAUGCCAAGUUAGCAAUUAAUUAUUUUUUUAAAUUUAAAAAAUAAAAAUUAUUAAAUUAUUUUAAAAAUUAUUAAAUUUUUUAGAAUAUGUAAAAGUAUAAUUAAUUGCUAACGUGACAAUCCACAUGUAUGUCACAUCAGCAAAAUUAACAAAUACUAACUUUUUCAUCUAUUUUAAGUGAUUUGAUAAAUAAUACAAGUUCAAAAGUUAAAAAGAGAUGAAUAAUUAAAUAGAGAGCUAAAAUAUAAAGUCUUUCCACUUUGUCGAUUUAGAAGUGAUUGUAAAAUUUAUAUUAUUUAAAUAGAAAAUAAUCUUCUAGUUAUUAAUUAAAAUAUAAUUUAUUUAAUUUAUUUAAUUAAUUAAAUUAAUUUUUAAUUAAAUAUUUUUCUCAAUCCAAUUUUAAUUUCGUUACAGUAAUGACUAAUUAAUUUUAAUUAAAUAUUUAAUUUUUUUUAUACCGGAUAAGUAAUGACUAAUUAAUUUAAUCUCAAUUUUAAACUUUAAUUAUUUAAUUAUAAUUAAUUAAAUAAUAAUUUUAAAAAUCUUAAAGUAAUUCUGAAGUCAUUUCCAUUCAUUUUUGUUCAUUUCUAUCCAUUUAAUUUUACAUACAAUUUAUUUUUUAUUUCAACGAGCUAACUAUUUAGUAACUAUAAAAUACAAUGUAGAGAUCAAUAUGGAAAUAUAAAUUUUAAAUUUUAAAUAUUUUUUGUUAUAUAAAUUUUUAUUUGAAGUAUGAAACGUUAUUUUCUUAGCAAAGAGACUAGUGUUGGGAACAUAUCCACGCACUAAUUUUUCAUGACUGUUCUAUAAAAAUAGUCACUCAAUUAUUAUCAUAUUUUUAUUUUGGUCACUCGAGUUUAAAAUUUUUUAUUUUAGUCACUAAUGUUAUCAAAAUUUAAUAUUUUGGUCAUUCUUCCAUUAAAUCACUAAUAGUGGUCCUUUUUUAUUGGAAUCAUAAAAAAUUUAACCCUCCAAUAUUUAUAGAUUCCAUCAAUUUAGCCCUAAAUCUAAAAAAUUCAACAUUUAUAUUAAUAUUGAUAGAUUCUAUAAAUAUUAAUAAAUCAUUUUUAAUGAAUUUUAUAUUUUUGAAAUUAUUGUAAUUUUAAUCUAGUUUAGCUAACUCGAGUGUUAAUUUUUGAAACUGAUAAAAUUUCUAAAUGUUACUAUUGAUGAAUAAUUGAUGAAAUUAGUAUUACUUGAUUAGAAUUUUCUACUUAGAUAUGAAAAAGGAUUAAUUAUCAAUUAUCAAUUCCAAAUAAAAAAUUUAUUGAUAUUUUCUAUUAUGAAAACCCAUUCUCAAUGUGUUGCAUCGUUGAACAAGUAAUUUUUACUUCUAUUGUGGCAAAUUCAACGAAGGGAGUUAUCUUCUUAUUUCUACCAUAAAAAGUUUCUCAAUAUAUUUCAUUGGGUGAAAAUUUUGAGUUAGAUAAUUAGAGUGCUUCAAAAUCUCAUGGCAAUCGACAAAUUAUGUGAAUGUGUGUGAAAAUAGGAAGGAUAUUAAUCUUAAGCAAACAAAAGUUUAGAUGACAAUUCCCAUGAUACUCGUUGGAUAAUUCGGUCAUCUUUUUUAUGGAAUGUAAACUUUUCUAAAUGAUAAGGAAAGGAAAGCUUGGGCAAUUCAAUUUAAGUAGUUCACCUCUAAUUCCCCAUCUCCACUACUUUAGUAUACUUCAAUCAAUAAUUUCCCAAAUUACUAUAAGAAUUAAUACCUUUCAAGGAGAAGGUAUAACAUUUACAACAACACUGUCUUUUUCUUAAAGGCUUAGAUAUAACCUUUCCCUCUAGCUUUUAUAGUUGUUAUAUAGUCGUUGGGAAGUCAUGUCUCAAGACAAUUUAUCAAUUGUCUCUAGACACACUGCACAAUAUCUCAAGACAAGCAGCUCUUAUCAAUCGAUACAAGCCAGUAUGAACUUGUAUAAGUUAGUAUUGACUGAAACGAGCUGAAACAUACUGGAAUGGUCGAAACACAUCAAAAUCUUAACCAUAAUGGAAUCUAUACUACUUCAGAUUGGUUGAAGACCAGAAAGAUACAUAUCGAGUGUGUUAAAUGUUGAUGCCCCUUUUAUGUACUGUUUUAUAUUUUUGUUCUUUUAAUAAGAUUUGUUUGGCUUAUAAAAAUUAUUUUUAUUAAAAUAAAAUAACUGAAAACCUUAUGCAAAGACUGAAAAAAGAGAUCAAAAUUUGCUAUGUUUUGAUAUUGGACAUUUAAUAAUUUGUACCUAUAUUCUUAAAAAAAAAUUGUACCAAUACAAUUUCAUAAAAUUAGUACAAAUGAUCAUCAAAAUUCAGCAUAACUUUUUUGAACCUAAAUAUAUUGCUAAUUGAUAUAAUUGGGAACGGUUAUGCAGUUGAUAAUAAUCUUUUUGGACUUCGUUUAAUAUAUGAUUUAUGCAAGUAAUAUUGGCAACUCAAGUUUCGGCAUGUCUUACGAGAACAUAAUACACUGACAGAUUGCAUGAACAAAGAUGUUCUUAGUAAUUUUAAUAGGUUAACAACUUUUGAAGACCCAGCUGGUCAUGCUCAAUCUUUGUUAGAAAAAGAUGUUCAUCGAGCAAUGAUUAAUAUAGAUUCCUAUUAACCUAAUUGUAGCUAAUUCCUUGAACUUGUUUCUUUUUUUAAAAAAAUGCACAAAAUGCAGAAAUAACUAUUAAUAAACUUUAUAGGAAAACAGAGCAUCUGUAUAAAUAUUUAUCAAAGAUAUUGCUAGAAAGCAAAGUUUAUGUUUAUUUUAGUCAAUUUAACAAUGGCCUCUUCAUCGAACGCGUUGCAUAUCCCUUGAUAACUUUACUUUGAUCUUCUUUAACUAUGUAACAACCUCUUUCAUAUGAAGCCUCUCAUUUGGUAACUCUGCAGAACAUUCUAAGCCAACUUGCAAAAUGGAUAAGGCACAAUUCUUGACUUUUAAAUGUUCCCUUCCAAUGGUGCUCAACAACUUGGGAUCUACAACUUGAUUUAGCGAAGAUGAUAUCGACUCUAUCACCCAACUCUUCAAGCUUCUUUCUCCUUCAAACAUUUCAUCUGUGGGCUAUUUUCUUGUGAUAAUUUCCAUCAAAAGAAUACCAAAGCUAUACACAUCACCUUUUGUCGAAACAAUUCCUUCCAUUCCAUAUUCUGUGUAUGAAUAUAAAGACAACAUUAUUAAUAUUCAAAGAUAUCUUGAUAAUGAAAAAUUCGUAUAAAAUAUCCGAAACAUUAUAUGCUUGCAUGUUAUAAUUGAACUGGGAUUUAAUCUAGUUGCUUCCUUAAAAAGUCACAUUUAAUAUGUUUGAAACUCAAAUCUUAACAUAUAUGAUCCCUUUUGCUAUGCACAUGCUACGCUUAUAUUGAAAAUGGAAAAAUAGACAUGGAGUUUGAUUAGAAGGAUCAGUUGGUGCCAUAUAUCCAAAUGUUGCCAUUGUCAUGGUUUGUAUCAUUGAAACCUCUUCACGUAAGAGUUUCGCGAUGCCAAAAUCACUCAAAUGCGCAACCAUAUCUUCAUCUAAUAGAACAUUGUUGGGUUUCAAAUCAUAGUGAACCACGGGUGUUGCAUUACCAUGGUGGAGAUAUUCCAAUGCAGAUGCAACAUCUAUCAUUAUGUUCAACCUUUGUAGGAUAUCCAAAUAUUGGUUGUUGGAAUACAACCAUUUAUCAAGACUCCCACUAGGCAUGAACUCAAGCACCAACGCUUUGAAAUUAAGAUCAUUAGAGCAACUGCUUAUUACUUUGACUAAAUUUCUGUGACGAGUGUUGCGGAGAACAUCACAUUCAACAUCAAAGCUCUUAAAAGCUCCUUCUAACUCUAACUUGAAGACCUUCACCGAAAUUACCGUCCCAUCCUGGAGAGUCCCUUGGAAUACUGAACCAUAACUUCCAUUACCAAGCAACCUACUAUCACUGAAUCCAUCAGUAGCUUGACGAAGCUCGUGGUAUGAAAACCGUCUCCACGUUCCUAAAGGUAUCAUGUCUUCUUGAGUUGGCAAUUUGUCUUUCCUCCUGUAUUGCAAGAUAAUGAUUAUCAGAGCCACAACCAAAAUUGUGGAGGCAAUUGGCAGAGCUACAUAUAUUAUGAGCUUAGUUUUUGCCUUGGAAUUUCUAAGAGAUCUAGUUUUGCAGUUUGGAACAUGAAGUCGAGCUGCACCACACAAGGCUUCAUUCCCCUUAAAUGAUUCGAUUGUGUAGUUUCCAAAUGAUCCUCCAUCAGGAAUUUCUCCUUCAAGUCUAUUAAAAGAGACAUUGAAAUAUUUGAGAUAACGGAGUUUCACUAAGGAUUUGGGAAUCUCUCCAGAUAGAUUAUUUCUUGACAAGUCCAAGAAUUCCAAACUCAACAAUUCAUCAAAAGACUCAGGAAUAGAACCCAUGAUUCUAUUAUUGGAUAAGGAAAAAUGAGUGAGGUCCUUGAGAUCUGCAACUCCAGUUGGGAUAUCACUUGAGAACUGAUUGUUCGACAAAUCCAAACUAGUCAAAACUUUCCAUUUUCCAAUGUCAAUUGGCAGUGGACCACUCAGAGAAUUUGAAGACGAGUAUAGGAUGAGGAGAUAGUUAAGCCUUGUCAACGUUGAAGGUAUUGAAGAGGAAAACAUAUUGGAGUCUAGAAAUAGUUGCCUUUAUGAAUUGACAUCACCUAAGCAAGUAGGUAUUGGCCCAGACAUUUUGUUAUUGGUCAAGAACAAGAAAGCCAAUUUGUUUAGAUGACAUAACUCAGAUGGGAUGGAUCCCUCUAACUUAUUGUCCUUAAGAGAAAGUCAUUGCAACUCUUCCAAUCCUCCAACUGUAGUAGGAAUCUGUCCUAUCAAUUUAUUGCCUCCUAGCUCAAGGUUUAUCAAGUGACUUAAGUUUCCAAUUUCACUGGGGAUGCUACCCCUGAUGUUGCAUGCAGAAGCAGAGAAAUCUUCAAGAGAACUUGAGAGAUUUCCUACCACUCUUGGAAGUUCACCACUAAUAAAUGAGUUGAUGUCGAAAAAAAGGUUCUUCAAGACUCUACAGUUUGUCAAAGGAAAGAGAAAGCUCAUUCCUGAGGAAGUUAAAUUAUUACUCGCCAGGUUGAGAAUAUUUAAAUUUCUUAGAUUGCCCAGAUUAUCCGGAAUGGACCCUGAAAAGUAAUUAUUAGACAUGUCAAGAAGAGUAAGCUGAGAGGCAUUGGAAAUAUACAUUGGGAUCGAGCGGGCAAGGUGAUUGAAAUCAAGAUACAAUUACUCCAUGUUUGGAAGGAAAAGGCCCAUGUUUUAUGGAAGAUGGCCAGAGAGCUGAUUUGUAUCCAAAGAAAUCAUCCUUAGAGUUGAAAUAUUGAACAGUUGUGGAGGAAUAGAACCAGCAAUAUUGUUAAAUGCUAAAUUCAACCAAUUUAGAUUGUUUAGGUUGCCAAUCUCAUGUGGUAUUAUACCUGCCAUAAAUUUUAUCAAACAAAAAUAUUAGACAAAUAUGGAACAUUUGCUUGUAUUUUGUUCUUCUAAGAACAUAAAAAUAACUCAAUUAUGAUUUUAUUAGAGUUUUGUGUGGCCUCAACUGGGAAAGAAUGGACUUAAAAGAAAAGAAAUAUACUAUUUGCAAUGACACGAAAAAAAAUUAUAGCUAUUGUAACAUAAUCAAAAUAUAGAAAGCCGUUGAACAAAAUUAAACCUAUCAUUAAAAGUUGGAAAUAAUUGACCUGUAAAAUUGCCAUGGGAACAAUCAAACAGCCUGAGAAGAGUUAAAUUCACAAUUUGUUUAGGAAUUUCACCUGCAAUUAUAAAAUUCACUUGUCAAAUUCAAAAUUCAUCUCUUAGUAAAGAUUAUAAGAUAAUAAAUGCUUAAUAACUUACUUAGCUUUCCAAUUUUAUAUAAUAAAGUCAUUUUAAUUUUCUAUUUAAUUUUUCGCCUUUAAACUUGUAAUAUUUGUCAAAUAUACCUCCAAAAUGGAUCAAAAAAUCCAUGUGCAUGUCACGUACUUAGUUUCUUGUUUGUUUAUCUUAUUUCUUCUCUAUCAAAGACCAAUAUUUAUUUUUAUUUGGUCCAAUCAAAAUAUAUUUUAUCAUUUCUGUAUUCGCAAGUCAAUAUAGAUGGAUAUUUCAAAACAUAUAUAUGUCUCUCUUAUUCUCGAUUUUCUCAAGCAAUUUGGUGGAAUACUCGAACGUUCGAUUCUUUUUUUUGGUCUUAACUUCAAUCUUUAUGAAUGAAAACAAAAGAAAAGAGUUUCUCAUUAUGAUCUAGGUUUCAUUUCUAUGGGUUAAAAAAAUUAAAAUAGUUAGUUGAAAGACCCAACAAAAAGUUGGUUAUAGAGGAGUUCAAGGAUAGAAAUAACCAAAACUCAUCUCAGCUACUGUACAAAUAGGUGUCGUAACCAUUUUUUUGUAAAAAGGUCGUUGACUUGGAUUUUGAAAAACGAAAACGAACAUGGGAGUCGCCACCAAUCCUUUUUAUUUAAGUGUGAUCGGAUCACCUUAUAAUUUAAUCAUUUUAAUAAAAGUUUUAAAUUUACUAAAACGAUAAUUUUUUUGUCUACAAAAUCCAAGAAAAGGGUUCGGGAGUUGGUUACGCAUGAGGAAGGAUUAGCACCAUCGAUGCACCCCAAAUUGGCAUCUAGUUGAUUAAUUAGUUUCUUAGUGUCGAAGAUUGAAAACUUUAAAGAGAUUUAAAAUUUGAUCCUUUAUUGAAAUGCUAAAAAAAUUUGAGGAAAAGGGCAUACUUUACGUUAAUCGAGAAAAGAGAAUUACGUCCCGUAAGUUAAGACACAAUACCACGUACUUUUGAGAAUAAGCUCCCUUUUGUUUUUUUUUCUCAAAGCAUGUUUAUUUUAGUUUUUAAAAGGAUAUUCGGUUAUUUGGGUUCAACGCGAGAAGAAUCAAGACCCAGUAAGUUAGGAUACGACUUCUCGGAUUUCCAAUUACAGAAUAUUGCCUUUAUUAUUUUUUAGAAAAGAACCUCAUCUUGAGAAAAAUAACAUGUCAUAUCCAAUGCGUUAGGACACAACAUAUCGAAUUCUCGAGAUAAGCUUUAAUUUUGGAAUUUCUACGUUUAAAUUGAAAAAGGGAUAUUCAGUUACUUACAUUCAACAAGGAGAAUUGAAGCCCAGUAAGUUAGGGCACAAUCCCCUCGAGAAUCUUGGAUACCGAGUAGUUGAAAACUUAUGGAUAAAAUGAUUUCAAUAUUUUUCUAAACGGAUGUAACGCGAUUGAAUGGUAACGUAUUACGCAAAAGUAUAAUUUAAAAAUAAAAUACACGUUAACGAAUCAUGAAUAAUAAAUAAACACAAACUAACAUAGCGAUAAUAAUCUCAAUCAUACAUGUCGAAUAUCGAUAUCAAUAUUUGAAAUAAAAACGAGCUAAUUAAUGCAAACACAAGCCAAGUGUAUAAGUUUUGAAAUGACUAGAAAAAUAAAUGGUAUGAAAAGAAUGGAAAUUGUGAAUCAAUAAAGCAUAUACAUAGAAAUUUUAACAUAAGUAUAUACAAAAAAUUUGAAAUAGAUUAAAAUGGAGUUUAAAAUAAAAUAAAAUAAAUAGUAUGCGAAGUAAAUUUUAGAGUAAAGGUUCAAAAUAUUAAUAUAUACAUAUAUUAAAAUUUUAAAAAAAGUAAUACGUAUGGGGUGGAUAUAAUAUGUGGUACUAUACGUAAAAGUUGGAGUUAGUGAAGUAUAUUAAAAUAGGAUUUUUUUUUUAGAACUACAUAUUUAUAGAUAAAAAAUAGAUGUUAGCAAAUAUAUAUACAACUAUAGUAAAGAAAGGACUGAAAAUUAAUAUGUAAUUUGAUAAAAACUAUGUAUCAUAAAAUAAAACCAUUUUAAAGAAAUAAAUCCCAUUGGAUUGAUAUAAUAAUAUGAAAUAAUGAUAAUGAUAUAAAACGUUAAAAAAUAUAAAUACGUAAUAAUAAAAGAGUAAAUAAAUAUAAAUAAGUGUAAUAAUAGUACCAAUAAUAAUAAUAGUAACAGUACUAAUAACAAUAAUAAUAUAAAUAAAAUAAUAUUAAACAGUUAAUUUUACAAGAAAAAAUAAAAAUAGAUAAAAUAGCACUGACAACAGAGAAGGACUAAAUUAAGCUUGAAAAUAAAAGUUUGAGGCAAAUCUAGAAAUAAAUGAAAAAGGGAUCGCGCUGAACACGCGAACAACGGGGAAAGACCAAAAUGGGAAAUAAUCCCAGCCUUCCAGAAUGUUGAGUUUUGCGCGGACCAGAUUGGAACAAAAAAUAAAAUGCGUGGCCAUAUUUAAAGGGAACAAAAGAUCGAUUUGAACUCAAUAUGGAAUACAGGGGACCAUUUGCGUAAAUUUCCCACGCGUUAUAAAACACGCAGAUCCGGGACCGGAUCGGGGCGGGUCGCGUGCUGGUCGUGCAAAACAGAGCCGUUUCAGCACUGAAACUCCCAGGUGAAACGACGUCGUUUCAAUAGCAAUAUAAAAGUUAAAAUUUUCCAAAAUAGACUCAUUUUCUCCUUGUUUCAGAAAAAAACAUUGGGGGUUCUCUCAAGUCCCAUUUCUCCAGCCCUAAACUUCGGCCAAAGUCUGGCCACUAGCCACCGUACCGGUCGUCGAUCGUCGGCAUUAGCGCCGCCGCGCACGGUGGUCGGCGAGGGAAAAAAGUUUUUUUUUUUAAUUUUUCAGCCCCCUAGACUCAAAUCCAACCACAAAACACCCAAAAACGUAAUAAAAAGGGACUAACAACCCUCUCAACGACGAGUUUUGCCACUAAAGAAGGGACCUUCUGACGAUCAAGGCGCGGCGUAACUCCGGUGAGUCCCUUCCCCUUUUUCUUAUUUUCGAACAACAAAAAGAAAGAAAGAAUAAAAAAAAGGAUUGAAAUCGAAAAUAAUCACCUUAAAAAAAACUUUCUAUUUUUGAUUAAUUUUUAUAUAUUUCGAAUCAAUGUGUGCGUAAAAAACUGUUACAACGAGAAUACUUUGGCUUUUAUAGCCAAAUUACAACCGUUUGAUCUUCAUCUUUUUGUUUUUUUUUUUGCUCUUUAUUUUGCUGGAUUCUUCUGUUGCUUUGCAUUGAUUUCUCUCUGCAGGUGUCAGAGGCGUGCGAUGCGCAUGGAGGUGACGGGCGGCGAUGGCAGUGUCAGAGGUGGCAGAGGCUUGCGGCGCACCUAGGGUUUCUGCCUCUCCCUCUUGCUGAAAAUUAGUUUAGGUUUUGGGCCAUUUGGGCUUUAAGGUUUUGAUUUGUUUGGGCUGUAAUUGGGUUUGUAAUUUAGCUGAUAAUUUGGAUUGUUUGGAUUAUUUAUUUUUUUGGUUUUAUUUCUGUUUAUUUUUGGGUUUUGGGCUUGGGGAAAAUUUGAUUAUUACAGAGAUAUUGAAGAUGGUAGAGGGAAUUGAACCUGAAAUCUGGUUUUCAAACAAAUACAAGACCUCUAGCUUUGACAAAUAGGCUAAAGAGAAUGGAAUAACACCUUUGAAGUUGUUUUGGUACAAAAACAACCUUCGAAGUUCAGUUAAUGAUCCCAACCAUGAUGGGAUUUCUCCACUGAAGGUGUUGUUACCAAAGCUUAAAUAUUUCAGCCGUCGCAAAUUGGAUAACUAGACAGGUAAUCUGCCAUAAAAACUAUUGUUUGUGACAUAAAGAAGAGAAAGGAAUGACAAAUUUCCCAAGUGAGGUUGAAGGGUGCCUACGAGUCCCAACUGUUAGAGUUAUUAAUAAAAUAGUCAAAGCUAUUACUAAGUCAGUUAGCAGUUAAGCUAUUACUAAGUCCGUUAGCAGUUAGAAAGUUAGCUGUAAUGUCAGUAAGCUUUAGCUUACGUGCUUGUAUAAAUACAUGUGAGGUCUGCAUGUUUUAAGUGACCUAAUGAAAAUAAUUCUCUUCUUGAUUCUUUCAUUUUCUUAGUUUCUUGUAGUUUUACAUGGUAUCAGAUGUAAGUUUUUCCAGGCAUUUUUUCUUCUUCUUUCGUUAAUCCGCUGUGCAGUCUGCAUAGUCAAUAUGGCCUUCAAUUCUUCUGACGGAGCUAUUGACAGUCGGUUCUUUUCUACAAAGAGGAUUAGUGUUCUUCUUGACGAUAAUACCUAUUUACUGUGGCGUCAGCAGGUUCUCUUGGCUAUAAAAGCGCAUAAACUUCAAAACUUCUUGGACCCUCAACAAGAUCCUCCCACUCAGUUUCUUGCCGAUGGUAGUGGUGGUUUUCAUGAGAAUCCAGAGUUUGCACAUUUUGAGCAACAAGAUAGUGCAUUUGCAUCGUGGUUGUUAUCUUCUAUUAGCCAAACGGUGCUUCCUCAUCUUAUUGGUAUGGAUACCAGUGCCAAGAUUUGGAAUGCAGUUGUUACUUGUUACCUUGUUUGGUAGUAAAACCACCUCUAAACUGAUCUCCUGUCGAAGAGCUUUGCAUUCUCAACGCAAGGGCAACUUGAGCAUGAAGGAGUUCUUGAUGAAUGUUAAAAGUUGCUGUGAUAAUCUCGCUAGUUGCGGUGAAGUCAUCAGCGAGCAUGAGCAUGUUACUGCAAUACUCAAUGGUCUUCUUCCAGAAUAUAAACCUGUCAUCACCAUUGUUACAGCAAGUCAAGUGCCCUACACAGUACAAGGUGUAACUUCCAUGCUUCUCGAUACUGAAGCUCGACAGCAGGUGAUGAGUUGUAAAGUCUCCAGUUCUGCAAACUUGGUGUCUUACCAGUCUUCUGAGUCUUCCGAUACUACUGGUUCAAUACCUGCUUAUCGACAGUCAUCUGCAACUCGGGGACGUCGGUGAGGGCGUUCGUCCAACACGAGGAUUCAAUGUCAGCUAUGUGGGAAAGCUGGUCACCUUGUUGACCGUUGUUACUAUCGGCUCACUUGUCCAUACACGUCAGCUUAAAAUGGACUUGUUGAAUUAAAACACCGACAGGUAGUUGAAACCGGCCUGUCCAUGUUAGCUCAUCCAACCAUGCCUUUGAUGUUCUGGAAUGAAGCCUUUUGCAGUGCCGUGUUUCUGAUUAACAGAUUACCCUCCCAUCCCUUGGGUGAUAUAUCACUAUAUGAAAAAUUGUUUAAAACAAAACCAAAUUACUCUUUCCUUCGAACUUUUGGCUGCUUAUGCUUUCCUAAUCUUAGACCUUUCAAUAAAACAAAGCUACAGUUUAUAUCUAUUCCUUGUGUCUUUCUCGGCUAUUACCCAUUGUACAAAGGUUACAAAUGUAGAGACCCUAUUGGUAGAAUCUAUAUUACUCGUCAUGUCACAUUUAAUGAGGCCAUUUUUUCCUACAAAAUGCAUAGUUCAACAGUCAUCCCAUCUACUGCUGUUCCACAGGUCAAUACAAAACUUCUUGUCCUACAUCCUAGCACUGUAUCUUGUAAUAGCAUCCCACCUAAUGUUAUUUCUACUAAUCCCUCUUCAACACCCACUUCACAGUCCACCUAUCCUAUUUUAGCUCAAACAUCACCUGCUUCACCUACGUUAUCUAGAUCCUCUUCACCUCCACAAUUGCAACCCUCCCAAUCCGCCCCGAUCAACACUCAUUCCAUGAUCACCAGGAGUAAGGUUGGAAUUUUCAAGCCAAAGGCUUAUUUGAGCACGACAUCUUCUUCUCCUAGUGAUGUUUCCUCUAACAUACAUGCAACGAUGGCGUUUGAAUGCUGGCGAAUAGCGGUUCACAGUGAAUUGCAAGCUUUGGUUCGUAAUAAUAUGUGGACUCUUUGUUCUCUCCCUGAAAAUGGACGAGCAGUCGGGUACAAGUGGCUCUUUAAAAUUAAAAGGAAGGCUGAUGGGUCCAUCGACAGGUACAAAGCAAGAUUAGUUGCGAAAGGGUUCUCUCAACAUACAGGGCUUGACUUUCAUGACACAUUUAGUCCACUAGUUCAAGCUUCCACCAUUCGCACUAUUCUUGCGUUAGCUGUUAUGCAGGGGUAGGCAAUGCGUCAAGUUGACAUCAAUAACACCUUUCUUAAUGGUGAGCUUACUGAAGAAAUAUACAUAGAGCAACCCUCUGGUUUUGAAGUCUCAGGUGCCUCUGGUCAGCCACUUGUGUGCAAAUUGAAUACAGCACUCUAUGGCUUGCGACAAGCCCCUCGUGCAUUCGAGUGUCUACAGGGAAUUACCUGCUUCUCAUGGUUUAUUUCGAUGACAUUGUGCUCACUGGUAGUAGUGUUCAAGAUAUAGAUGCUGUGGUACAUCAUCUUCAUAACAAAUUUGCUCUUAAGGAUAUGGGAACUCUCAGUUUUUUUUUGAGAAUUGAUGUCCAACGUACGUCCCAAGGAAUGUUGCUCAAUCAGAAGAAGUAUGUCACUGAGCUUCUUCUCAAAACUGGUAUGAUCGGGGCCAGGGAUUUAAAUUGCGGUCGCGGUCGCGUUUUCGGUCGCAUUGCGUUUAUCGCGGUUGCGGACAUAACGGAUGCUAUUGCGGUCAUUGCAGGUAUCGCGGUCGUGAAUUUUACAUUACUUAUUGUGUAUUGCGGGUAUAGCGGGUUUCGGCAGUAGCGGUUUCGGACGGUGCCGUUACCGCUAUAUAACGGCCGCUAUUUCGGUAACGGACCGCUAUUUAAAUCCCUGAUCGGGGCAGCUUCUACACCGACACCCAUAGUAAGCACUCCCAAGUUAGUUGCUUCAGAUGGCAGUCCUAUUUUUCCAAAUGUUCAUUUGUACCGAAGUACAAUGGGUAUGCUUCAAUAUAUAUGUAUUACACAACCCGAUUUGUUGUUCUGUGUAAACAAGCUUAGCCAGUACAUAAGUUCCCCCAGUGUCACUCAUUGGAAAGCUGUCAAACGUGUUUUAAGGUAUCUGGCUGGCACCAUAGAUCAUGGUUUGUAUUUUGCAGCAGGUCCAUUAGAGCUGGUGUGUUACUCUGAUACUGACUGGGCCUCAUCCAUUGAAGAUCGACGGUCUACGUCGGGAUAUGUGGUAUACUUAGGAUCAAAUCCUGUUACCUGGUGCUCAAAGAAACAGUCGGUGGUAUCCAGGUCGUCUGCUGAAGCAGAGUAUCGUAGCCUAGCCAACUGUGUGUCUGAACUGCUGUGGAUUCAACAGCUGCUAAAUGAAGUUGGAGUACCUCUGUCUAAGUUGCCAAUCGUCUGGUGCGACAAUUCUUCUGCAGUUUCAGUAGCUGAAAAUCCCACGCAUCAUUCUAGGAUGAAGCAUGUGGAAAUAAAUCACCAUUUUGUUCGUGAGAAAGUUCUUGCUGGAAUCCUACAGGUCAAUUUUGUUCCCUUUGAUCAACAGAUUACAGAUGUCCUCACUAAACCAGUUACUCCUAAGCUGUUUUCAUCAUUUCGACAUGCUCUUCGAGUCUUGACGUUAAGUGAACUUAAUGAUAAAAAAUCAAACAUGCUAAGGGAAUGUUAGUUAUUAAUAAAAUAGUCAAAGCUGUUACUAAGUCAGUUAGCAGUUAAGCUGUUACUAAGUCAGUUAGCAGUUAGAAAGUUAGCUACAACGUUAGUCAGCUUUAGCUUACGUGCUUGUAUAAAUACAUGUGAGGUCUGCAUGUUUUAAGUGAUCUAAUGAAAACAAUUCUCUUCUUGAUUCUUUCAUUUUCUUAGUUUCUUGUAGUUUUACACCAACCCAGUAAGGUCUAGAGCUGUGACUCUACGGUGCUUGGAUCCACAACUUACACCAAACCAAUAGCAAACGGGGGAAGAGGCUGACCAAUUAGUUGUUAAGACAUUUUCAGGAUCAUGAUGAAUAACAUGAUCUCUUAGUGUUAGAAGAGUUGAUUGAUCUGUAAGUAUGGUGGUUAAUUUCAUAGAGAAAUUAGUAGGCAUAGAAAAAUGGAAGAUGAUAAGAAGAGCUAAGUUGAGGAAAGUAUUCCCUGCUUAUCGAGCUACCAACGAAGGCAGAACUGAAUGUUGUAAUUUAUUCUUGCAACAUUGCAAAUUCUUUGAAUGUGAUUUAGGUAGAAACUAUAGAAUUUAUUAUAGGAUGUGAUAAUAUGAUUAUGUAAUUAUUGCUUAAAAAACUUCUUUCUAAAUUUCAUAUAGUUGCACUAGUGCUAAGAUUACAACUUUUUUUAUUAAAUUAUUCUAGAUUAGUGAAAUUAUUAGACAACGUGAUAAUUUCUUAUCAGAUAGGAAGUGACAAGUGAGCAGUCACUUCCAAGAAUAUAAACAACUCAAUCACUCUCUUAACUAACGGUAUCAAACACUAAUUGUUGUUUCUAUUGACUAAAAGAAUUUUCAACCAAAAAUAUGUUGACUUAAAAUUAAAAUAAACCAUCAAAUUUCUUAGAACAUUCAAUGAGGUUGAAAGAUUUUAUUUUUAAUUUUUGUUAUUUUGGAAUAAUUUUUUUUCUUUAUAAUUUUACCAAAAAAUAUAUUUUAACUUUUUAUUUUUUUUAGUCAUUAAACUUACAUUGUUUGUCAAAUUAUCCCAAAAUAAAUGGAAAAAAUCAACGUUUGUUAACUUUGCUAAUGUGCCACAUGUGGAUUGUCACGGGAAUGUCAAGUUAGAAAUUAAUUCAUUUUUAAAAAUUUAAAAAUUUAGAAAAUAUUAUUAAUUUAUUUUUAAAAUACUAAAUUUAUUUAAAAAGUAUAAAAGUAUAAAAUUAUAAAAAAAUUUUUAUUUUUAAAAAUUAAUUAAUUGCUAACGUGGUACAUUAACUUUUUCAUUCAUUUUAGAUGAUUUGACAAACAAUACGAGUUUAAAAGUUAAAAGUGAUGGAAAAUUAAAUAAAAGGCUAAAAUGAAUUUUUAAAAAAAUAAAUUUGAAGCGCCAAAAAAUUCAUCAUCCUUUUUUUUUGUCCUAUCAAUACGCUUAACAACAUGCCACCAUAAUUUUGAUUUUCUCUGGUAAGUCUGUAUGCCAUAGGUUUUUUAGGAAAGCUUUGUUUGUAAUUUCAUUAGUAUCAUCAUCUAGACUAGAGGUCUCUUUCAGUAGCCUUCUGUAACCACUCCUCACAAUAUACUCUCUUGUUACCUCCCCAUUCCAUACCCUAUUUUCCUCUCGUGGAUGUCUCGCUAGAGGAAUUUGCAAGAUAGUUUCUACCUCUUCCCCUGUAAACAAAGAGGUAACAAGAUCCUCCUUCCUUUGUCUCAGAUUAGAUUCACUCAGCUCUUCCACCUUAAUUAUAUUGUGAUCUCAAACUAACUCCUGGAUUUUUUUAUCCUUCAACCCAAGGAUCCGAGCAUCCUGCCACUCUCCAAGCCAUUCCAUCCUAUAGUAGUUGCUUCGUCGCCCAUAAGCUCCUCCAAGUAUAAAAAGGAUAAUUACCUAACUUUGGUUGCAUGAACUCGACAUUGGGGAAUAUUUAGCUUUUAAAGUUCUAGCUAAUAACAAAUCAUGAUAAUUCAUUAAACUCCAACCCUAUUUUGCAAAGGCUAAAUUCAACUUGGAUAAAUUUUUAAACCUUAUUCCCCCAUCUUCAUUUAGUUCACACAAUUUAUUCCAAUUGCAUCAAUGAAUCCCCCUCUUUCCUUUUUGUUUCUGCCACCAAAAUCGAUUUAUAACCUGUUCCAUGUCAUGACAUAAAGAAUUCAGUGGUAAAAAACAAAACGUAGCAUAAGUCGGAAUUGAUUGCAGUACACUCUUAAUAAAAAAACUUCCUUCCCUCCCUAGGGAAGUAUUUUAACACACCAAUUAUUUGUUCGUUUUGCAAUCCUAUCUUUCAAGCCCUGAAAGGUCCUUCAUUUUUGCCUCCCCACAACAUUCAAGAGCCCCAAAGACUUCUCUGGAUCCAUCAAACAACGCACCCUUAAUAAUUGAGCUACUGAGUCCUUUGCAUAUGUAGAAUUAUUUGAACUAAAAAAUAGUGUUGAUUUCUCUAAGUUGAUACUUUGCCCUGAAUAUUCUUCAUACUUCUGCAAAAUCCUUCUAAUCUCAUUUGCUCGCUUUUCUGUAUCUUCACCAAACAAAAUAUAGUCAUUCGCAAAAAGCAAAUGAGUAAUCUCAAGACCCUUUCUACAUACCUUGACACCUUUUGUUCUCCCCUCCCCUUUCACCAUCCUCAUCAAUGUCAACAACCCCUCUCCACAAAUCAAGAAUAGAUAAGGACUUAGCGGAUCCCCUUGUCUAAGGUUAUAAUCUCCUUAACUUGGACUAGACGUUAUGACCAUAUUAAAAAGGCUACAUUAGACUCCAAAAUGACUAAACAGACUAUUUGACCUUUGAAAAUCCUUAACACACAACUAGUUUUAAAGAAAAUUGGUAUUGGUGAUCCAAGUUAGAUAAAACAUUUGUUUAUUGGGUUUUCUUACAAAAAAAAACCCUAAUUUUUUUUCUAACUUUAGAAAAGUCAUCACCCUUGAAAUUAAUUAACAUUAAAACAUUCAUUCAAUUAGGCCAUCUUUACUUAGAUUCUAUUUUAUUAUUGUUGUCAUGUUUUAGAAAACUAAUUGUUUUGAUAUUUUGUUUCACAAAAAUCAAAUCUUUAAAAUGUAGUGGAAAACUAUUAUUCAUAUCAUUUUAGAAAUCCAAUUGCCUUAUUGAUUUGUUUUUCAAAGCAGUUAAUUUGUAACACAAUGAAAAAUUGGUGAUCAAUGCCAAUUUUACUUAAGCCAUAUAUCAUGCAAUUAUUAGUUAUUAAACUUCAGUAAUAUAUGCAUGCACAAAAUCUCCCUCCCCUAAAAAAUAAUCAAGCCAUAGACUAGAGGAGUUCAUGGGCCGGGCCGGGCUCAAAAAAAUUUUGACCUGUCCUAAAAUAUGGGCUUAAAAUUUUGAUCCAGGUCCUACCUGAGAAAAAAUUUCUAAGCUCGGCCCAACCCAUUUUUAAUAAACAUCAAAAAAUUAUUUAAAAAAUAAAAAGUAUUUUAAAAUUUCUAAAAAAUAUAUAUAUUUAUUAUAUCGGGCCAAGCCGAGCUCGAGCCUAGGCCAAAAAAGUGGUACCCAAAGCCCAAUCUAUUUUCUAAACCAACUUUUUUUUAUCUAAACUCAUAUUUUAAAUCUAUAUAUUUACCUGAAUUCUCUCAUAUUUCGGGCGAAUCGUCCUGACAUGAGCACCUCUAGCUUUUAAGGACUUGAUUUUCAAUUUUUAACUUUUCCUUUGUUUUUCUUUCGUUCUGUUUAUAUGUCAGGUCUCCAAGAUGCCCUCCUUAUUUGGCUCUAACCCUUCAUCCUCCGAUCCUGCAAACGACACCGUGCCUUCCCCUUCCUCUUCUUGUUCCUCCUCCUCCUCUCCGGACAUGUGGAAUUACUUUUUUAUCCCUAUCCUCCUCCACCUCACCAAAAAACUCUCCCUUGCUAAAGCUCAAACCUCAACUGGACUCCUCCUCCCGAGUCAACGCGGCGACGGCUCGGCCGAUGAUUCACUAAUUUCCUUUUCGAGGUGCGCGAAUGCUGACCCGAAGCUAUAUUAUCGGCCUGUGAUUGGGAUACUGAGUCAUCCAGUAGGCGGCGCGUCGGGGGGCCGUUCCUACAUAGUUGCGUCGUACGUGAAGUUCGUGGAAGCGGCCGGGGGUCGAGUCAUUCCUCUUAUUUAUAAUGAGCCGGAAGAGAUUCUUUUCCAGGUAAUAAUCAUGAUGUUCAUUUCCUUGUAAAAAUGCUGAAUUUUGACUUUGAAUAUUUGCGUGUGUGUGUGUUUUUUAAAAUUCGGUUAAAAAAAAUGGACAGUCGUGAAUCUAUUUUUGGAAAGAAAAAUUCCUGAUUUAGAAUCUUAAAUAACUUUGAUACUGUGAAAUUUGAUACUGUGAAUUUUUAAUAUUUUGUUUCAUAAUAAGUUUUUCCUCUUAAUUAAAUGUAAGAAUAUAAAAAUGCUUGCUAUUCCCGCAUUUCAAAAAAUUCUCUCGUUUUUGUUAAAUCAUAAAAUUAGGAUACUACCAGUUGUUGCAAUCUCCUUACUGUCUAUGCAAAGGAUAGAAUUUUAGCUUAGUUGCAUUUUUGUGGAUAUUCUUUAGUACCUUAAUAUUUGAAAUGAUAUUUUGAUUGCAUAUGCAUAUGCAUAUGCAUAUGCCUUUCAUUCCCUUGCUUUUGAUUUGCUACGAUUAGACAGUGGUAUGAUGCUAUGAUACCCGCUUUAGCAUAGUUGUUGCCUUCCUUUGCCAAAAGCCUGUCACCUUGCUAAGUGUCUUCUCCACCUUCGUAUUGCAGAAGCUUGAAUUGGUUAAUGGCGUGCUUUUACCAGGAGGGCGGUCUAAAUCCGGCUUGUACUAUGAUAUUGCUGAAAAGAUUUUCAAGGUAAUUUAUAUUUAUAUUUGUUUGUUUCUUGAUUUUAUGAAAUUCACAUGAAACUAACAAAAAAAUAUAGGCAAGAGAUUGGUGUUAGCAUGCAAGUCUUUUGUUUCUUCAACUUAUGCUUCAAAUGUUUUUAUAUUUCCAAUUUUCCAUGGGUUGCAUAGAAAACUUUUAUUCUUUGUGUUUUUGCAGAAAGUUAUAGAGAAGAACGAUAGGGGAGAUCAUUUCCCGUUAUAUGCCAUUUGUUUGGGUUUUGAACUUUUAACAAUGAUUAUCAGCGAAGUAAGCACCUCACAUUAUCUGACAUUUUUUUUCUGUUUCCUUUUUAAAAAAAAAAGAAAAAAGAAAAACAAUUUAAUUUUCUUCAGGCUUUUAUCUGUUUAUAUGGCUUUUUUAUAUGGCUUUUCUUGAUGUAGUUAACUUUUGUUCACUAUUGUGGACUUUCUCUACUAAUAUUCAUUCAUGCGUCAUGGCAGAAUGACCAAAUGAGACGUUUUUAAAUUUCUUGAUUUAAGGAACUCUAUAAUUUCCAUUUGUGAGAGAUUACUGUUGGCCUAACAUGGCUAAAUAAUGGCAAUUCCUGCAUGUUCACCGUAUUGUGGAAACUGCAGUAUUUGAUCCGUUAGGAUGGCAUGGUUACCUUGUUUGUGGCAUCCAAACCAAUGGUUGACCUUGCUGGAAAACAUUUUCUAAUGGAUUUGAAAUCUCAAAAUCUUAUCUACUGGUUCUUUAGAAAUCACUUCAUUUCAAGUUAGCUUAAACCUACCCAUGUCUACUGUAUCCAAUAACUUAUUUUACUUAAGGAUUUUCUUUGUUGAAUUAUAAAAAAUUUGACAAAAUCUUAUUUUAAUGAAUACAUACUUUUUUUCUUCUUGCUGAUAGUGUUAACAUUAAUGGGAGACAACAUUAAUGGCAAACAAUACAAAGUGGUGCAAGUUUAGCACCCUAAAGUUGACUUUGAAAAAGUGGCAUGGGAUAAUUUUUUUUGGUCCUUGAGAUAAUGGGCUAUUUAUUGUUUGGUCCUUAAACCUCAACUAUAAAUAAGCCUUUUCAUUUCUUAUUUCAAUUCAUCCCAACCAAUCUUUCUCUCUUAGUUUUCUCUCUUCUCCCAUUUGAGAAUUCUUAAGGAAUUCUAUUUGUUUGUAAUACUUUGAAGAUAGUAAAGUUAUCAUCUGGUGUUAGUGCCCGAGGACGUAGGUAUAAUUUACCGAACCUCGUUAAAACUCUUGUGUUCUUUCUUGUCCUAUUUUUCUUUCAAUAUUUGAGGGUAUAAUAGUAGUAUUUAAUUGUGCUAUUAAAUUACUAUAGAAGGGAUAUUCUGUCUAAGGAAAGACUUGGUAUUUAAGAGAUCCAUGUGAUCCACCUCUCUUUCCUGGGAAUUGAACUUUGUGUGAUUUUUUAGUACAAUAAUUUACACGUUUUCGACCCUAUUGGAACAACAAGUGGUAUCAAGAGCCGAAGGUUAAUCGUAGUAUGCUCUGUGGUUGCAGUUUAAACUGAUCUUCCACAUCAGAAAAGAUUUCCUUAGGUAUAUUGAAAGAUUAUGGAGAAAACGGUCGGUGUAGGAGCUUCAACAUCGUCCAUGUGGACAAGACCGACAAUUGCAAAUGCAAGAUUGGCCGUGGAGAUCUUUGAUGGCACGGGCCAUUUUGGUAUGUGGCAAAGUGAGGUUCUAGAUGCCCUUUUUCAGCAGGGUCUAGACAUUGCCAUUGAUGAAGAGAAACCAGAUGAUGUACAGGAGAAAGAUUGGAAGGCGAUCAAUCGGUUGGCAUGUGGCACAAUUCGAUCAUGCCUUUCUCGAGAGCAGAGGUAUGCUUUUUCAAAGGAGACUUCUGCAAAUAAGUUGUGGGUGGCACUUGAAGAAAAAUUUUUGAAGAAAAACAGUCAAAAUAAGCUCCACUUGAAGAAAAGACUGUUUCGCUUCACAUACGUCCCAAGUACCACAAUGAAUGAUCACAUCACCAAAUUCAAUCAGUUAGUCACUGAUUUGCUGAAUAUGGAUGAGACAUUCAAAGAUGAAGAUUUGGCUUUGAUGCUGUUGGGGUCACUUCCUGAGGAGUUUGAGUUCCUAGAAACUACUCUACUUCAUGGCAGGAGUGAUAUAUCUCUGAGCGAAGUCUGUGCGGCCUUAUACAGUUGUGAACAGAGAAAGAAGGACAAACAGAAAAACUCAAUCAGAGAUACAGAAGCUUUAGUAGUCCGAGGUCGUUCAUACACUCGGAAGAAAACUCAAAAGGGGAGAUCAAAGUCAAAGUCCAGACUCGGGAAAGAUGAAUGUGCUUUUUGUCAUGAGAAAGGCCACUGGAAGAAAAAUUGUCCAAAGCUGAAGAAUAAGGGAAAAGCUGCUGUAGAUGCUUGUGUUGCUAAGCAUGAUACUAGUGACUCUGAACUAUCACUGGUUGCAUCAUCAUCGUCGUUCCAUUCAGAUGAGUUGAUAUUGGAUUCGGGUUGUACCUAUCAUAUGUCCCCUAACCGGGAGUGGUUCUCUGAUUUAGUAGAACUAAAUGGAGGAGUUGUUUAUAUGGGCAAUGACAAUGCUUGUAAAACUGUUGGAAUAGGUUCAAUCCAAUUAAAGAAUCAAGAUGGAUCAACCAGAGUUCUGACUGAUGUUCGGUACGUGCCCAGUUUGAAGAAAAAUCUCAUCUCAUUGGGAGCAUUGAAAUCCAAUGGUUCAGUUGUUACUAUGAGAGAUGAGAUUUUGAAAGUGACAUCUGGCGCACUUGUGAUAUUGAAGGGCAUCAGGAAAAAUAACUUGUAUUACUACCAAGGUAGUACAGUUAUUAGAGCAGUCGCUACAGCUUCCGGUAACAAAGAAUUGGACUCAAUGCAGUUGUGGCAUAUGAAGUUGGGACAUGCCAGCGAAAAAUCCUUGCAAAUUCUGGCAAAGCAAGGAUUGUUGAAAGGUGCAAAGGCUUGCAAAUUAAAAUUUUGCGAGCAUUGUGUUCUGGGAAAGCAAAAGAGAGUGAAAUUCGGUACUGCUAUCCAUAAUACAAAAGGUAUUUUGGAAUAUGUUCACUCAGAUGUGUGGGGGCCUUCCAAGACACCUUCCUUGGGAGGAAAACACUACUUUGUUACUUUUGUUGAUGACUUUUUCAGAAGAGUUUGGGUGUAUACCAUGAGAACUAAGGAUGAAGUGUUUAGAGUUUUUCUUAAAUGGAAAACUAUGAUCGAAAACCAGACUAGCAAGAAAAUCAAGCGGCUUAGGACGGACAAUGGAGGGGAAUAUAAAAGUGAUCCGUUCUUCAAUGUGUGCCAAGAGUAUGGUAUUGUUCGACACUUCACAGUUAGGGAUACACCACAGCAGAAUGGAUUGGCAGAGCGUAUGAAUCGAACAUUGCUGGAGAAAGUUCAAUGUAUGUUGUCCAAUGCUGGAUUGGGCAAGCAAUUUUGGGCUGAGGCUGUGACAUACGCUGGCCAUCUUGUUAAUCGUUUGCCAUCAUCUGCAUUAGAAAGAAAAACUCCUAUGGAGGUAUGGUCUGGAAAACCGGCUACAGAUUAUGAUUCCUUACAUGUGUUUGGAACCACUGCAUAUUACCAUGUGAAGGAGUCAAAGUUAGAUCCGAGGGCAAAGAAAGCUCUCUUUAUGGGAAUCACUUUUGGAGUGAAGGGAUUUCGUCUUUGGUGCUUAAGCACAAAGAAAAUGAUCUGUAGCAGAGAUGUUACCUUUGAUGAAUCUGCCACAUUGAAAAAGGUAGCAGAUAAAGAUAUUCAGACGAGCAAUACUCCACAGCAGGUGGAGUGUACUCCAAAACAGGUGGAGUUUGAGCAGAUGGGGAUUUGCCCAGUUAAUAAGUCUAAUUCUCCAGCCACAAUGGAGGAAUUAGAGGUUGAAGAGGUUCUGACCCAAGAACCACUAAGUACACCAGAACCAGUUGCAGUUGUAAGGCCACGGAGAGAAAUUCGUAAACCUGCUCGAUUUACUGAUAUGGUGGCCUACGCCCUUCCCGUUGUUGAUGAUAUUCCUAUCACUUAUCAAGAAGCAAUGCAAAGCUUAGAAAGUGAUAAAUGGAAAAGCGCCAUGGAUGAUGAAAUGCAGUAUCUCCGGAAGAACAAUACUUGGGAGUUGGCGUAAUUACCGAAAGGUAAAAGGGCAAUCGGAUGCAAGUGGGUAUUCGCAAAGAAAGAUGGAUCUCCUAGCAAGAAGGAUAUUCGCUAUAAGGCAAGAUUGGUAGCUAAAGGCUACGCUCAGAAGGAGGGAAUUGACUACAAUGAUAUAUUUUCCCCUGUUGUGAAGCAUUCCUCCAUUAGAAUUUUGUUGGCUUUGGUAGCACAGUUGAAUUUGGAGCUAGCUCAACUUGAUGUUAAGACGGCUUUCUUGCAUGGUGAGUUAGAAGAGGAGAUCUAUAUGACUCAGCCCGAAGGAUACACAGAUGCUGGUGGUAGAAAUUGGGUUUGUAAGCUGAACAAAUCGCUAUAUGGAUUGAAGCAAUCCCCGAGGCAGUGGUACAAGCGAUUUGAUAGCUUUAUGAGAAGGCAGAAGUACACAAGAAGCAAAUAUGACAAUUGUGUAUAUUUGCAGAAGCUGCAUGACGAAUCUUUCAUUUAUCUACUCUUGUAUGUUGAUGAUAUGUUAAUCGCUUCGAAGAGCCAAAAUGAGAUAGAUAAGCUGAAGGCUCAGUUGAAUCAAGAGUUCGAGAUGAAAGAUCUAGGUGAGGCCAAGAAGAUUCUCGGCAUGGAGAUAAGUAGAGAUAGACCGAGAGGCAAGCUCUGUUUAAAUCAGAAGCAAUAUCUGAAAAAGGUAUUACAAUGUUUUGGUGUAAAUGAAAACACAAAACAUGUAAGUACCCCACUUGCUUCUCAUUUGAAACUUAGUGCUCAAUUAUCUUCGAAGACUGAAGAUGAAAGAGAAUAUAUGGCGAAAGUCCCAUAUGCUAAUGCAGUUGGGAGUUUGAUGUAUGCGAUGGUGUGUACGAGGCCUGAUAUUUCACAAGCUGUUGGAGUUGUGAGCAGGUAUAUGCAUGAUCCUGGAAAAGGACAUUGGCAAGCAGUGAAAUGGAUUCUACAGUAUCUUCGAAAAACCGUAGAUGUUGGUUUAAUUUUUGAACAGGAUGAAGCACUUGGUCAGUUUGUAGUUGGAUAUGUUGAUUCCGACUUUGCUGGUGAUUUAGAUAAACGUCGUUCAACUACGGGGUAUCUGUUUACUCUUGCGAAAGCCUCAGUGAGUUGGAAGUCUACCUUACAGUCUACAGUAGUUGUGUCUACUACAGAGGCAGAAUAUAUGGCAGUUACAGAAGCUGUUAAGGAGGCUAUUUGGCUUAAUGGAUUGUUGAAAGACUUAGGAGUUGUUCAAAGUCACAUAAGUUUAUAUUGUGACAGUCAGAGCGCUAUUCAUUUAGCGAAAAAUCAAGUCUAUCAUUCAAAAACCAAGCAUAUCGACGUAAGAUAUCACUUUGUGCGGGAAGUCUUUGAAAAAGGAAAAAUUCUACUUCAGAAGAUUCCGACAGCAGAUAAUCUCGCAGAUAUGAUGACCAAGGUGGUAACAACAAUCAAGUUUAAUCAUUGUUUGAACUUGAUUAACAUCCUAAGAAUUUGAGCACCUUCAGGUGUAUGGCGCUCGAGAGUGCAUUUGUAGGCACUACAAAAGAUAGCUUUAUCGAAUUUGGGGAGUUGAAGGAAGUGUGUGAAGAUGUGAUUAUCCUAAUCAAAUCUUCAAGGUGGAGAUUGUUAACAUUAAUGGGAGACAAUAUUAAUGGCAAACAAUACAAAGUGGUGCAAGUUUAGCACCCUAAAGUUGACUUUGAAAAAGUGGCAUGAGAUAAUUUUUUUGGUCCUUGAGAUAAUGGGCUAUUUAUUGUUUGGUCCUUUAACCUCAACUAUAAAUAGGCCUUCUCAUUUCUCAUUUCAAUUCAUCCCAACCAAUCUUUCUCUCUUAGUUUUCUCUCUUCUCCCAUUUGAGAAUUCUUAAGGAAUUCUAUUUGUUUGUAAUACUUUGAAGAUAGUAAAGUUAUCAUCUAGUGUUAGUGCCCGAGGACGUAGGUAUAAUUUACCGAACCUCGUUAAAACUCUUGUGUUCUUUCUUGUCCUAUUUUUCUUUCAAUAUUUGAGGGUAUAAUAGUAGUAUUUAAUUGUGCUAUUAAAUUACUAUAGAAGAGAUAUUCUGUCUAAGGAAAGACUUGGUAUUUAAGAGAUCCAUGUGAUCCACCUCUCUUUCCUGGGAAUUGAACUUUGUGUGAUUUUUUAGUACAAUAAUUUACACGCUUCCGACCCUAUUGGAACAACAGAUAGGACAAAAAAAUUCUUGAACGAUUUUCUGCAUUAAAUCGGGCCUCUAGUCUCCAAUUUGUGGAAAAUGUUAAUAUUGAAGGAACAGUAUUUCAAAGGUGCAAAACCUUUAUUACCUUUCAUGGUACAUUAGUAUUGUUUGAUUUUGGUGCCAUUUUUCUAUUGAUGCUUUUGCUCAGAUUUUACAUUAUUAUCCUUGGAGGAUUAAGUAUUUUAUAUUUCAAAUAUGUUUUGCUGGUCAGGCAUUAGAUGAUUUAUAGGAAAGUUCACAACAGUUAACGUGUUGAAGUAACGAAAGCCUCUCUGUAUGCGCUGCUAAUAAGGGAAAGAGUCUUGUAAUACAUAUGCAGUUUAUGUUCUGUCAGACUGAUCUCUCCAUUUCACUAUUUGAAUAAGAACUUUGUUGCAUGAGGAUAGAGAAAAGGAAGUCAACUAGUUGCUUGAGAUUUCCUGAAGUUGUUCUUCAGGUUAAAUGAUGACCAUAGCAUAAUAUUUGGUGUGAAACUUUGGUACUAUGGGCUUACCACUUUUCUUGUUAGCUUUUGCUUGCACCAUAGGCACAUGGCAAUGAAUUGGUAUGGUAACCAGACUUCACAUGAAGCUUUUAGUGUAGACCAUAAACAAGUUUAACACUUAAAUAGGAAGAGAAUAGAUGUGUGCUUGUUUAGCUUCCUGAUUAGUGUCAUUGAAUUUGUUCUUAGUUGAUUGAGGAGAGUGUAAUAAACCCUUCUCUGAACUUCAGAGUUACACCUUUGAUAAAUAGCAAUAGCUGAGCACAGCAAUAAACAUUAAUUGCCUGUUUGCUUUAUCAUCAAAAGGCUUUAUGAAUGUUGUAGGUAUAUCCAUUUAUAAUAUCUAACCUUUCAAUCAGUAGUAAAAAUGAGGUGAUUUUAAGCUGAUAAUUUGUAGUUUGGUCCAAGUUAGUAGCAGAACAAUAUUGUCAUAAACUUUCUACUUAGCCCAACCUGGUUGACAUCUUUUAUUCGAGAGCUUUUCUUAUAGUCAGUGUAAUUAUAUGUUCAUUGCUCCAGUCAGUGCCACACUUCUACAGCUUGAUAGUUAUUCUCUUUUGCCAGAUUUCCUCCAAAUUUGCUGCAAAAGCUUGGCACAGAUCGCCUAGUCAUGCAAAACCAUUGUGUGAGUUUCAUGGCUCCUUUCAUUUAUAUUUUAAAUUAGUUGCACGUGUAAGUGUUUGUCUUUUGCUUCUCUAGUAUGUCCGCUUUGGAUCAUUCCUAAAACCUUGAACUGAUAAUGAAGGAUCUAAAUUCUGAUUUAUUCAAUGUUUUCAUUUUUUUUUCAAUUUUUGUUGCCACUGGUUGCCUGUUUCCUCUAUUUGGCACUUUUAACAGCUUCCUACUUGUUAGCUUGUGCAGAUUAUUAUUUGAGAGAUGAAAUGUAUUUUAAUGCACAGUAAAUUGUUCAUGCGUUCUGUUCUCCUAAUAUGUAAUUUGAUUUCCUUGAACCUCAUUCUUGGUCUCUAAAAGCCUAACUUAGAAGAAAACUCAACAGGCAAGAUGUCGUGCUAAGAGUAGAGACCUGUCAAAGAAGAAAAAUGCUAAUAUUUCUUCAGAGUUAAGGAUAAUAUAUCCCUAUUCAAAAGUUAUCUUUCUUUCAUGUGCGUAUUAAGAGAAUCCUUGCCGCCCUCCUUUGUGGCACAUUGUCUGUGUUAUGUUUCUAUGUACAAGCUAAUUAGCAUUGCCUAAAAUCAAUGUCUAAUUGUAACAGUGGGGCAUUUCACCAGAGAAGCUUCAAAAUACUCCAAAUCUGUCCAGAUUCUUCAAGAUCUUAACAACAAGCACAGAUAAAAAUAACAAGGUUCUGAAUCUUACAAUCCCUAUGCCAUAGGAAGUGUCUUAACUUGAUUUAUCUCAUUACAUUUUAUGGCUGCUGUAAAUGUCCUUAUUUCUAUUUAAGUGUUAAUAACAGGUAUAUGUCUCCACUGCACAAGCACAUCGCUAUCCUGUCACUGCCUUCCAGUGGCAUCCAGAGGUACCUCUUUUAGUGCUUUCUGAUCAUCGUCAUGUUUAUGCCUCAGUACAGUUUGGCAUGGCAAUUUUAAUUUUUCUUGUUAAAUAAUAAUCAUAUCAAUGACCACUACAAGGAAUUGGUGUCCUUUUUUUCCCUAUUAACUUCUUUGUGUAUCUCUGCUUCUGUUUCUCUUACUCCUUUUAAUUUUGUUUGCAAAACUGUAGUGUUAUUCUAUGAUCCACUAAUACACUCCAUUUCAUUAUGAAUAGUCUGACCAUAUAUUUUGCAGAAAAAUGCUUUUGAAUCGGGCUUGUCUAUGAUUCCACACUCAGACGACGCCAUUGAAGUGACACAACAUGUUGCAAACUUUUUCAUCAGGUUAGGAAUGUUAAGUAAGGAAGUUAUUAAUAGUUCUCUAUAUUCUUACAAUUUAGUCAACGACAAACUGAGCGAAUGUUAUAUUCGAGUGAGACACAAUCUUGCUCUUCAGCAUAUUAUUUGGGUUUUGGGCAGCUGUUCCUAUGUGGAUAUGCUUUGCUUCGUCCUAGAGCAUAUGUAAGGAAGAAAUGUUUAAAGGAACUUAGAUAAAUUUUAGGAUAUAAACAAUAUAAGAAUAUAAAUAGUUUAGCAUGAAAGGAGAAGGAAAGGAAAUAGGCAAAAUUCAUUUUCAGCAUGCUAUACUACAAGUAGUUUUUCUGGCUGAGAAUGAAAUGCCCGUGGUUUUAUGAAUAUAAGAAAGAGGAAAGGAAAGAAAAUGCGUAUUUCUAAUUAUGUGACAGACUAGAGGUGAGGUAUUUGUGUUCGCGGCAUAAGAAUUUGAGUUCAAACCCUAACAUUGUUUCGCCCUACCAAAUUAUAAAAAAUAAAUACCAUCUCUUUCCUUCGUCUGUUUGGAAGAUGAGGUAAUUGAACUUUUCUUUUUUCUGGUACAGAGAGGCUAGGAGAUCACUGAAUAGGCCAGCUGCUCAAAAAGUGCGUGACAGCCUUAUUUAUAAUUACAGGCCCAAGUAUUAUGGGAAAGCUGGGUAAGCUGAUAUCAAUCCUUUUGAGUUUUGACACUAUUAGGACACCAUCCUCUUGAAUGUAAGCUGAUUGACAUGGUUGUGAAUUUGAAUGCUGUAGGAAGGGUUUCGAUCAGGUCUACAUCUUUACACAACGUCAAGCUCGAAAUUGAUAGAGUUGCGGCCGUGUACAUAGUUAAAGAUGUAUGUGGUUGGAUGUAUGUAUAUUGUUGACGCUGUAUUUGCAUUGUGAUUUGUAUCUGAUUGCUCUCUUAAUUUAUAUAAGCUACGGACUGGAUGCUUGCCAAUGAGGUGUAUGAGUAGUUAUUGUUGAUGAACAAAGUUUGCAAUGCUUAUUCUUAUUAGCUCAAAUUCUAAAAAUGAUAAUGAUUAAAGUAUAAUCUGUUACUUGUGUUAUAAAUAAGCUUGAAUACUUUACCAUAGAAAUAGGGUUUAAGCUUAAAAAUACAUUCUUUUUGUGUGAGAUAAAUAUAAAAAGAACUGGAUUUGUAUUUGAUGCGGUUUAUGACAUGCUAUUGAAAAUAAGUGUAAAUUACAUAAAUGUCAAUCGACUAUUAUAAUUUUUGUUAGAUUAUUCGAAUUUAAAAAGUUUCAAAAUAAUCAUUUAAUUUAUUAAAUUUAUUAUAUCCAAAACUGUUAUAAAUUAGUAACAGUCGAAUGGUGUGUUGUUAACUUAAUGAUAUGUUUUUUUAACCCAUUAACUUUUUUUCACAUUAUUUCCAUGUCAUAUUAUAAUUUAAAAAAAAAACUAAUUUAAACUCCAAAAUUCCAAUAUGACAUGGAAAUGUGGAAUAAAAUUAAUGAUUAAAAAGACAUAUCGUUAACAGCCACGUCAGCAGAUUAUUAGUAAUUUAACAGUUUUGAACUUAAAAAAAAUGAUUUUGAUAGUCUGAUAAUCAUUUUAUAAUUUUUAAAAAUCAAAUAAUUUAAAUAUAUAUAUAAUAAUCGGAUAGCCAUUUAUUAUGUAGUUUGCCAAAGUAUUUUAUCAAUUGGAAGAUGAAGCAGUAAACCAAUAAAUAUGUUGAAUAGUCUCCAAUUAAACCAUUUAAGAUAUAAAUCCCAAUAAGUUCAAUUAAUGGCUCUAAUCAACUUUACAAGAAAUAGUUCUUGACAAUUUGAAGGGUGAAUAAUGAAUUUUCAGAACUCUUUAAAGAAAAUCGAGAAGAAAACUACUUUUAAGAAUCAGAAGAAAAAAAUCUUACACAAAAAAACUAACUCUAAACACCUAAAGUACAUCUAAAUAAAACUCUAAUUAAUCUAAAUAGGGGUGAAGCCAUAAAUUUUUUAGGGAGCCAAAAUUAAAUUGUAAUUUCUACAAUAGUAAAAAUGUAAUUUCACCAUUUUAAUAACUUAUAUCUUUAUAAUUUUUAAAGGGUUAAAUCAAAUUUUUAUUAUUUUUAGGGGUCAUAAAGUGUAAUUUUACAUUUAUUAAUUUAAAUUUUUUAAAAUUUUAAAGGGUCUAAAUGAUUUUUUUUUUCAUUUUAAGGGAGUCAAUGCCUUGUCAUCUCCUAGCUAGCGUUUGAAUCUAAAUAAAAAAUAGUUUUAAACUAAAUUUUCUUAUUUAACUCAAAAUACUUGGCCUGCAAUAAUUUUUCUUGACAAAAAGAUCCUCCAAAUAUUAUUUAUAAAUUUGUAUUUGAUACGUUGAUAGUGUUUUUUUUAUUCUAUAAAUAGUUUUAAAAUUUUAUCAUAUAUCUAUUUUAAAAAAAAUUUAUUUAGUUUUAAUAUUUUAUUGUACACCUAUGAUAACACUUGUCAACCCUUAAUCCUAUUUAUAAAAUCUAAAAAUUUAGUAACAAUUAACCAAAUAUUUCUCAUUAUUUAUUAAACUUAAUUAAAUAAUAGGUUAUCUAGUAUUUUUGAGUUAGCUAUCUAUUUUCUUAACCAAAUAUUUAAAUUACCAUUAUGGACCUAUGUAGUUUUUUUUUAUAUAGGUAGACAACACCAUAAAGUAAUUACAUUCUUAAAGUACUAUUAACAUAGAGAAAUGAUAUUACGCUCAGCUAUUAGUAUAUUUCUCACUGGAAUCUCUCAAAAUAAUUGUACAUUACCUAAUCCAUGUGAAGCUAUCUUGGUUAUAUGAUCAGCAAUUUUAUUUUUAGAAUCUCUCAAUUUGCUAUUAGCCAUUCCACCAAUUAAAAUUAAUUCUACUAGAAGCGCAUUGUCGCAUUUAGUAUUUUUAAUUAUAAAAAAUAAAUUUAAUGUUAAAUAAAAAUUACUAUUUAAUAUUAUAUUUCCUCUCUCCUCAUAUACAUGUUCUUCCUUUCCGAUUCCGUCAUUUUCAUCCCUUUUCUCAUUCAUCUUCAUUCAUGCAGGUUGAAAGGUUUUUUCUUUUUCUCGUUAAGCCAAUGACAUGAAAUUUGGGUUUUUAUAUUGAUGGAGGAGAACCGUUUCUGGGUUGAAAACUAUAAAUUUUGGACUUCUAAACUUGAAAAACCUAUGGCUACGCUUUGAUAGCACCAUUUGUGGAUGAGGUGUUGAAGCAAAAAUCCUUUAUUAAAAAAAGUUUGGGACUUUGAUUUUUUUUUCAAAAGAGUUCUUUUUAUUUUCUUUAAUUGUAAAAAAACAAAGAAACUGUGUUGGGGCAAGAAAAAGAAAAGCUGGAGAAGAUUGAAAGGGUCUUUGUUUAUAUGCAGAAUAUUCAAAGAAAUAAUUUGAAUCAUUUCCCAUCCAAUUUUAUAAAAAUAAUUAUUUUAACCUUCUAUUUAUUAUUUUAAUCACUUUUUAAUUUUUAAAUUUAUAAUAUUUAUCAAAUUAUUCUAAAAUAAAUAAAAAAUUUAACAUCGGUUACUUUUGCUAAAAUGGUAUACGCGCCACUUAAAUAUCACAUCAUCAAUUAAUUUUUUUUUAAAAUUUAAGUUUCAAAAUUUAUUAAAAGUGUUUUAAAAUAUUAAAAAUAAAAAAUAUUUUUUAAUAUUAAAAAAUUAAUUAAUUACUAAUGUGACAAUUAUAAAUGCACACGUUGAUUACCAUAUCAACAAUGUUACAAAAGCUCAAUGGAGGGCUAAAAUGCAAGUCUAGUGUUACUAAUCUCACAUUGCUAAUAUAUAUAAAGUACAAAGAAUUUGAAUAGACAAUUCAUUAUAACUUGAGUAAUUGAGUUGGGUGCAAUUAGAUAGUUAACUUAUUGAGUUUUACGUAUAUUUGUUAUAAUGACAACUGGGCUUAAAUUUGGUGGUGUAAAUAAUUUUUAUAUAUAAUAAUUAUUUUUAUUUUUUAAAAUAAUAAAUUUUUAUUCGCAUUUGAACGAAUUUAUUCAAAUAAUCUAUGUUAAAAUUUACAGUAUCAAAUUUUACCUAACAAAAGGAAAAGAUUAUUUAUGACCAUAUAAGUUAUUUAAGAUUCUAAAUCAGGAAUUUUUCUUUCCAAAAAUAGAUUCACGACUGUCUAUUUUUUUUAACCGAAUUUUAAAACACACACACACCCAAGUAUUUUUAAUUAAAUAUAUAUAUUUAAUAUUAUAUUUCCUCUCUCCUCAUAUUCAUAUUCUUCCUUUCCUAUUCCUUCAUUUUCAUCCCUUUUCUCAUUCAUCUUCAUUCAUGCAGGUUGAAGGUUUUCUUUUUCUCAUUAAGCAAAUGACAUGAAAUUUGGGUUUUUGUUUUGAUGGAGGAGAACCGUUUCUGGGUUGAAAACUGUGAAUUUUUGGACUUCUAAACUUGAAAAACCUAUGGCUACGCUUUGACAGCACCAUUUGCAGGAGGAGGUGUUGAAGCAAAAAUCUUUUAUAAAAAAAUGAUAGGGACUUUGAUGUUUUUCAAAAGAGUUGUUUUUUAAAAUUGUAAAAAAAACAAAGAAAACUGUGUUGGGGAAAGAAAAAAAAAAGCUGAAGAAGAUUGAAAGGUUGUUUGCUUAUAAGCACAUUGUUAAAAAAAAAAUGUUUGAAUUAUCUCCUCAUAAAAAUUAUUUUUACUUGUACGAGUUCAUAAAAUUAGUACAAAUUAUCAUCAAAAUUCAGGCUAACUUAUCAGAACUUUGUUUCAUACAUGCUCAAUCUUUUGAAUACUCAAUUGAUUAUGUUUGAUUUUUGUUUGAAGAAAAUAUUCAUCGAGUAAUGAUUAAUAUAGAUACCCAUUAACUUUAUUAUAACUAAAUCUUCUUUUAAAAAAAUAUUCACAAAAUGCAAAAAUAACUAUUAAUAAACUUUAUUGGAAAAUUAAGCAUGUGUAUAAAUAUUUAUCAAAGACAUUGCUAGAAAGCAAACCUCAUGUUUAUUUUAGUCAAUUCAACAACUGCCUCUUCAUCGAACUCGUUCCAUAUCCCUUAAUAACGUCACUUUGAUCUUCUUUAACUUUGUAACAAUCUCUUUCAUAUGAAGCCUCUCAUUUGGUAACUCUACACAACAUUCUAAGCCAACUUGCAAAAUGGAUAAGGCACAAUUCUUGACUUUUAAAUCUUCCCUUCCAAUGGUGCUCAACAACUUGGGAUCUACAACUUGAUUUCGCGAAGAUGAUAUCGACUCUAUCACCCAACUCUUCAAGCUUCUUUCUCCUGCAAACAUUUCAUCUGUGGGCUUUUUUCUUGUGAUGAUUUCCAUCAAAAGAAUACCAAAACUAUACACAUCACCUUUUGUCGAAACAAUUCCUUCCAUUCCAUAUUCUGUAUGAAUAUAAAACAACAUUAUGAAUAUUCAAAGAUAUCUUGAUAAUGAAAAUUUCCUAUAAAAUAUCUCAAACAUUAUAUGCUUGCCUGUUAUAAUUGAACUAGGAUUUACUCUAGUUGCUUCCUUAAAAAGUCACAUUCAAUGUGUUUGAAACUCAAAUGUUAACAAAUAUAUAUGAUCCCUUUUGUUAUGCACAUUCUACACUUCCAUUGAAAAUGGAAAAAUAAAUAUGGAGUUUGAUUAGAAGUAUCACCUGGUGCCAUAUAUCCAAAUGUUGCCAUUGUCAUGGUUUGUAUCAUUGAAACCUCUUCACAUAAGAGUUUCGCGAUGCCAAAAUCACUCAAAUGUGCAACCAUAUCUUCAUCUAAUAGAACAUUGUUGGGUUUUAAAUCACAGUGAAUCACGGGUGUUGCAUUGCCGUGAUGGAGAUAUUCCAAUGUAGAUGCAACAUCUAUCAUUAUGUUCAACCUUUGUAGGAUAUCCAAAUAUUGGUUGUUGGAAUACAGCCAUUUAUCAAGACUCCCAUUAGGCAUGAACUCAAGCACCAACGCUUUGAAAUUAAGAUCAUUAGAGCAACUGCUUAUUACUUUGACUAAAUUUCUGUGACGAGUGUUGCGGAGAACAUCACAUUCAACAUCAAAGCUCUUAAAAGCUCCUUCUAACUCAAACUUGAAGACCUUUACCGCAAUGAUCGUCCCAUCCGGGAGAGUCCCUUGGAAUACUGCACCAUAACUUCCAUUACCAAGCAACCUACUAUCAUUGAAUCCAUCAGUAGCUUGACGAAGCUCGUGGUAUGAAAAUCGUCUCCACGUUCCUAAAGGUAUCAUGUCUUCUUGAGUUGGCAAUUUGUCUUUCCUCCUCCUAUUUUGCAAGAUAAUGAUAAUCAGAGCCACAACCAAAAUUGUGGAGGCAAUUGGCAAAGCUACAUAUAGUAUGAGCUUAGUUUUUGCCUUGGAAUUUCUAAGAGGUCUAGUUUUGCAGUUUGGAACAUGAAGCCGAGCUGCACCACACAAGGCUUCAUUCCUCUUAAAUGAUUCGAUUGUGUAGUUUUCAAAUGAUCCUCCUUCAGGAAUUUCACCUUCAAGCCUAUUAAAAGAGACAUUGAAAUAUUUGAGAUAACGGAGUUUCUCUAAGGAUUUGGGAAUCUCUCCAAAUAGAUUAUUUCUUGACAAGUCCAAGAAUUCCAAACUCAACGAUUCAUCAAAAGACUCAGGAAUAGAACCCGUGAUUCUAUUAUUGGAUAAGGAAAAAUGAGUGAGGUCCUUGAGAUCUGCAACUCCAGUUGGGAUAUCACCUGAGAACUGAUUGUUCGACAAAUCCAAACUACUCAAAACUUUCCAUUUUCCAAUGUCAAUUGGCAGUGGACCACUCAGAGAAUUUGAAGACAAGUAUAGGAUGAGGAGAUAGUUAAGCCUUGUCAACGUUGACGGUAUUGAAGAGGAAAACAUAUUGGAGUCUAGAAAUAGUUGCCUUAAUGAAGUGAGAUCACCUAAGCAAGUAGGUAUUGGCCCAGACAAUUUGUUAUUGGUUAAGAACAAGAAAGCCAAUUUGUUUAGAUGACAUAACUCAGUUGGGAUGGAUCCCUCUAACUUAUUGUCCUUAAGAGAAAGACUUUGCAACUCUUCCAAUCCUCCAACUGUAGUAGGAAUCUGUCCUAUCAAUUUAUUGCCUCCUAGCUCAAGGCUUAUCAAGUGACUUAAGUUUCCAAUUUCACUGGGGAUGCUACCCCUGAUGUUGCAUGCAGAAGCAGAGAACUCUUCAAGAGAACUUGAGAGAUUUCCUACCACUCUUGGAAGUUCACCACUAAUAAAUGAGUUGAUCUCGAAAAAAAGGUUCUCCAAGACUCUACAGUUUGUCAAAGAAAAGAGAAAGCUCAUUCCUGAGGAAGUUAAAUUAUUAUUCGCCAGGUUGAGAAUCUUUAAAUUUCUUAGAUUUCCCAGAUUAUCAGGAAUGGACCCUGAAAAGUAAUUACUAGACAUGUCAAGAAGAGUAAGCUGAGAGGCAUUGGAAAUAUACAUUGGGAUCGAGCCGGCAAGGUGAUUGAAACCAAGAUAUAGUUCCUCCAUGUUUGGAAGGAAAAGGCCCAUGUUUGAUGGAAGAUGGCCAGAGAGCUUAUUUGUAGCCAAAGAAAUCAUCCUUAGAGUUGAAAUAUUGAACAGUUGUGGAGGAAUAGAACCAGCAAUAUUGUUAAAUUGUAAAUUCAACCAAUUUAGAUUCUUUAGGUUGCCAAUCUCUUGUGGUAUUAUACCUGCCAUAAAUUUUAUCAAACAAAAAUAUUAGACAAAUAUGAGGAAGAAAAUAGUUUAUAUAUAUGAAACAUUUGCUUAUAUUUUUUAUAAUGUGUACAAUUAUAGACAAUUAGAAUCAACAAUAUUUACAAAAAAAAAUUAAUUCACAAUAAGUUUAAAUUGAAUAUUUUAGGUUUAAAGUUGGAAUAAGUUCAAAAUGAGAAGGGAUUGUAUGAAAUUGUGAUUCCACGUCAUGAUCAGAUUUUUCCUCCUAUUUUUAGCUUUUUCUUCUUGAAAAAAUUAAAAUCUAACUAAAAAAAGUUGAAAAUCAGGAGGAAAAAUCUGAUUUAUCAUUCUCCUAUUGGAAAGGAAUAAAAAUGACGUGGAAUCACAGUUUUAUACAAUCACUUCUCGUUCAAGAUAUAGAAAAUAAUGAUGAAAUAAAUGAUAAAGAACAAACAUUCAUAAGUCAAAUAAAAUAAUUAAGAACAUAAAAAUAAAUCAAAUAUGAUUUUUGGUUCCUUGAAGUUUUGUUUGGCCUCAACAGGGAUAAACGUAAAUAAUGGACUUAAAAAAAAAAGAAAUAUACUAAUUGCAAUAACUAUGAAAAAUUUUAUAAUUAUUGUAGAAUAAUCAAAACACAGAAAGCGGUUGAGCAAAAACAAAGUUCAAAUUAAUAAAAAGCUAUCGGUAAAAGUUGCAAAUUAAUAAAAAUAAUUUAGCUCUUUCUUAUACAUUCACCUGUAAAAUUGCUAUGGGAACAAUCAAACUCCAUAAGAAGAGUUAAAUUCACAAUUUGUUUAGGAAUUUCACCUGCAAUUAUAAAAUUCACAUUUCAAAUUCAAAAUUCAUCUCCUAGCAACGAUUAUAAGAAUAAAAUUAAGGUAUAAUGACUUGUUUAGCUCUUCAAUUUUAUUAAAAAGAAUCAUUUUAGUCUUUCAUUUAAUUUUUCAUCUCUUUUAGCUCUUAAACUUGCGAUGUUUGUCAAAUCAUCCCAAAAUGAAUUGAAAAUUCCAUGUGAUUGCCACAUCAACAAUUAGUUUUUUAAAUUUUAAAAAAUUCUAUUUUAUUGCUAACGUGUCAGCAAAGUAAACAAACAUUAACUUUUUCAUACAUUUUUUUGGGCUGAUAUAACAAAUAAUACAAGUUCAAGAGCUAAAAGAAAAGGAAAAUUAAAUAAAUAGUUAGAAUGACUUUUUUUUAUAAAGUUGAAGGGCUAAAUAAAUAAUUAUUCCUAAAGUAAAUAAAGCACGUUAGCAAGGUAUUUCACACAUACACACUUCCAAGCCAAGUUGGAACUAAAAGUAUAUUUCUCUCAUCAUUUUCAUGUAGUUUAUUCUUCAAUGUUCUUUUGAAAAAUUUCAACUAUGUAUUCGUUUAAUAAAUAAAUUUAUAUUUUCAAUCUCAAUAGAAGAUUGAUCUAAAUUAUUAUAGUCAUUACCUUAAUUUCAUUAAAAAAAAAUCGUUCCUUGCAUCUCAAAGUACUUAAAAAAAAGUAAACACUUCAAAAGGUUUUAAAAAUGGUUAGCAUAUGUUACCAUCAAAGUGGUUCCGACUGUUAGAAUUGUGUGACCCAAAUUCUAAGAGAUUGCUUGCAAGUCAAGUUAAACAAAAAUAUAUUUUCUUUCUAGAAGAUUUAGUAUUUAUUAGUAUAAAUAUAUUUAGCAUUUAUUAGUAUAGUUUAUUUGACUUGCUAAUUUAGCCUAUAAAUAGGCUCCUUUACAAUCUUAGAAUUAGAGAGACACCCAUUAGAUUAGAACUCAUAACACAUUCAGAGAAUUUUGUGUUUACGUUUGAGGGUUCUUUGUUUUUCGGGUUUUCGGGGUUUAGUUUUUAUCUCCAUCUUUUGUACUCUUCAUUUUUUUGCCAUUAUAGUAAAAUUAUCUUUGCCCGUAGUUUUUUAUCCUCUUUUGAGGGGUUUUCCACGUUAAAUUUGUGUGUUCAUCUUCUCAAUUUCUUCUACUAUUUUUACUUGUUCGUUGCUUAAUCGGGACGAUCCUAACAAGUGGUAUCAGAGCUAGUUUAACUUUCAUAGAUCAGCCCGGUCAGAGAUGGCAGCAACAAGGUUUGAAAUUGAGAAGUUCGAUGGUGAGACAAAUUUCAAUCUGUGGCAAGUUCGGAUGAUGGCAAUUCUAGUUCAAAAUGGCUUGAAAAAGGUUGUUACAGAGAAAAAGCUUGAGAAUCUAAAUCAAACAGAAUGGGAAGAGCUUGAUGAAAAGGCCUUGUCUGCAAUCCAGUUGUGCCUCGCGAAUACAGUAUUGCAGGAGGUAUUGAUGGAGAAUACCUCAUUCGCCUUGUGGAAAAGGUUAGAAACUCUUUAUGCGACUAAGUCUCUGGCUAACCGUUUAGUGUUGAAACAACAUCUAUUUACGUUUCGCAUGAACGAAUGUGAGCUUCUUAAAGAUCACAUCAGUCAAUUCAUUACUCUUUUAAAUGAUUUAAAGAACGUUGAGGUUCAUAUUAACGAUGAAGAUCAAGCUAUGCUAUUAUUGUGCUCUUUACCCUCUUCAUACAAGUCUUUCAGGGAGACCCUGAUUUAUGGCAGAGACAAACUCUCGUUCGAAGAUGUGAAGGGUUAUUUGUUGAGUAGAGACAAACUCGACAAUGAGUUUGAUUUGAAUAGCAAAGAAGAUAGACAAGCUUCCGUUUUGGUAGCAUCAAAGAAACGAGACAAAAUGUGUUGCUAUUGCAAAAAGUUAGGUCACGUCAAAGCAAAUUGUUAUAAACUGCGAAAUAAAAGAGCUGCUGAGAGUAACGAGGAAGAUGUAGCUGGUGCUAAUUUGGUCGAUGAAGGCGGUGAUGAUUUCUUGUUAGUGUCAACGAGCGAUAACUCCAAGCUUACGUCUGAGUGGAUCCUAGAUUCAGGAUGUUCUUUCCACAUGUGUCCCAAUAGAGAAUGGUUCUCCACAUACAGUUCAGUUGAAGGUGGAGUUGUGCACAUGGGAAACGAUUCAUCUAGUAAAAUAAUCGGUAAUGGUACUGUUAAAAUUAGGAUACACGAUGGGACGAUUAGGACACUCUCAGAUGUCAGGUAUGUACCUGAUUUACGAAAGAAUCUCAUCUCCUUGAGUAUUUUAGACUUGAAAGGAUGCAGAAUCAACAUCGAGUCGAGCGACAUUAAAGUAUCUCGUGGAGCUCUCGUUUUGUUAAAAGGUAAAAGAACCGGCAGUCUUUAUAUUCUGGAAGGUUUUACAGUGACCGGUGAAAUCGGACGUCCCUCAUCCGUUACAGAGUCAAAGUCAACUCAUUUGAAGCGGAGGCAACUUGGUCAUAGGAGGGAAAAAGGUAUGACCGUUUCGUUGAAGAGAGGUUCUCUUUUGGAUGCAGGUUUUGAAAAGUUAGGGCACUGUAUUCGUGAAAUUCAGACCCGGGUUAGUUUUGAUUUGGCAGUGCACAAGUCAAAGGCUAGAAGUCUUCCAGCUUCUAAGCAUAGAUUCGACUCAGUUAAUUCCCUGCAUAGUUCAAGAUAGGCCCGUGGCGGGUUUUGGCAAAGAUGGCAUUGAAAGAAUUUGUGUCAAGAUGGAGAUUGUUAGAAUUGUGUGACCCAAAUUCUAAGAGAUUGCUUGCAAGUCAAGUUAAACAAAAAUAUAUUUUCUUUCUAGAAGAUUUAGUAUUUAUUAGUAUAAUAUAUUUAGCAUUUAUUAGUAUAGUUUAUUUGACUUGCUAAUUUAGCCUAUAAAUAGACUCCUUUACAAUCUUAGAAUUAGAGAGACACCCAUUAGAUUAGAACUCAUAACACAUUCAGAGAAUUUUGUGUUUACGUUUGAGGGUUCUUUGUUUUUCGAGUUUUCGGGGUUUAGUUUUUAUCUCCAUCUUUUGUACUCUUCAUUCUUUUGCCAUUAUAGUAAAAUUAUCUUUGCCCGUAGUUUUUUAUCCUCUUUUGAGGGGUUUUUCCACGUUAAAUUUGUGUGUUCAUCUUCUCAAUUUCUUUUACUAUUUUUACUUGUUCGUUGCUUAAUCGGGACGAUCCUAACACCGACCAAUAUAGAUGUAUUGAAGCAUACUCAAAUUCCCAAUUUCUAUUGGUAGGCUCCCCUCCAUUUGGUUAUACGCUAAAGAUAACAUUUGUAACUCUUUGCACUUGAAUAGACUGGCAGGAAUUCUACCAGAAAGCAGGUUACGACUCCAGUACAAUCCUUUCAAAUUUGGAAGAUGAUCAAACAUAUCUUUUGGGAUAUGACCAGUGAGAUUAUUGGAGGAGAAAUGGAUGACUUCUAGCAAAAGUAAAUCACGUGGAACAAAGGGUAUGGAACCAGAAAGCAUAUUGUAGCUUAGAUAUAUUUCUUGCAACGAAGAGAUAUUGAAGAUGGUGGAGGGAAUUGAACCUGAAAUCUGGUUUCCAGACAAAUACAAGACCUCUAGCUUUGACAAAUAGGCUAAAGAGAAUGGAAUAACACCUUUGAAGUUGUUUUGGUCCAAAAACAACCUUCGAAGUUCAGUUAAUGAUCCCAACCAUGAUGGGAUUUCUCCAUUGAAGGAGUUGUUACCAAAGCUUAAAUAUUUCAGCCGUCGCAAAUUGGAUAACUGGACAGGUAAUCCGCCAUAGAAACUAUUGUUUGUGACAUGAAGAAGAGAAAGGAAUGAUAAAUUUCCCAAGUGAGGUGGAAGGGUGCCUACGAGUCCCAACCUAGUAAGGUUUAGAGCUGUGACUCUACGGUGCUUGGAUCUACAACUUACACCAAACCAAUUGCAAAUAGGGGCAGAGGCUGACCAGUUAGUCGUCAAGACAUUUUCAGGAUCCUGAAUAACAUGAUCUUUUAGUGCUAGAAGAGCUGACUGAUCUCUAAGUAUGGUUGUUAAUUUCAUAGAGAAAGUAGGCAUAGAGAAAUGGAAGAUGAUAAGAAGAGCUAAGUUGAGGAAAGUAUUCCCCAUUUGAAUUUGGGUGUUUAUGAAGCUACCAACAAAGGCAGAACGGAGAUUGCUAGACAGAUAAUUGAAUGAUCACUAACCGUAUGACCACACAACUUUUACAUAAUACGUGUAUGUAUAUAUAAAGGGAGUUUAUGUUGUAAUUUCUUCAUGCAAGAUUGCAAAUUAAUAUGAUUUACUUAGAAAUUACGGAAUUUAUUAUAAGACGUGAUAAUAUAAUUAUGUAAUUAUUGCUUAAAAUUUUUCUUUCUAAAUUUCAUAUUUCUUAAGAAAUUACAGUAAUAAAUUUUACAUAGAAAUAACAUUAACAUUAUUGUCAGUACAGGAGAAUGUGAAUUUGAAUGCAUUGAAACACAUUUAUCUUCUUAUAUAAGUAUUAGCAAAAAAAAUUAUGUAUAGUUCUAGACAUGUUAUAAAAAGAAUUUGAUAUAACAAGAUUUAGAAAAUAAUUUGCAUUAUUUAUUUUAGGAAAUUAUUGAAUAAAGAGAUCAAGAAUUUUCAAUUUAAAAAAUUUUAAAUUUAAAUCAUAACAGGAGAAGGAGUUUAGUUACUUUACAAUUAUCCAAGAUGGAUUAAAUUUGGUUUUAUAUCUAAGAUAUCAAAACCGUAAUUAGGUUAUGAUAAGCAUUAAACUAAAUUAUUGGAAUAAAAAUAUAGGUGAAAUUAUUAAUAAAAGCCGUUUUUUUUCAAAAUUUACUGAAAUGGGCUGAUUUUUUUAUUAUUUACCGGAAUGGUCUAUUUUCCGGGAAAUCGCAUCCACGUCAGAGCGAUGUCAGGGUACGUGUCAGGACAUUGCGUCCACGUCAGCGCGACCUGCUUACGUGGAAGGAAAUCGUGUCCUUGAGGGAGCGAUUUCCUUCCACGUCAGCAGGUCACGCUAACGUGGACGCGAUGUCGGCCGCGUGUGAACAGUACCCCAACGGUCAAAAAUUUGACCGUUGCCCCCCCAACGGUAAAAAAAAAACUAUAAAUACCCCCACCCCUUUUUUUUUUCACAAACAAAUCCUAUCUUCGAUUUCCUUCCAAAAUUCUCUCAAACCCAUAUUUAAUUUCAAUUUCCUCUCAAUUUCCUUCCAAAAUUCUCUCAAAUCCAUAUUUAAUUUCAAUUACCCCUCAAUUUUAUUUUUUAAAAUAAUUUUUAUAUUUUUAUAUUUUUUAAAAUAAUUUUUAUAUUUUUAUAUUUUUUAAAAAUAAUUUUAAAUUUUUUAUAUUUUCAUCAAUGGCCGGAUCAUUGAUUCGUCUUGAUAGGAUUCACAUAUCGGUGGAGCAAAUGAAAAUGGUAAGCAUUAAAUUUAAUUUUUAAAUAUUAUUUAAGAUUUUUUUAUUUAUGUAUUUUUAGAUAAUUAUUAAUUUAUUAUUUGUUAUAAAAGUCUGCAGAUCAGAUAUUGGAAUGCAAUAUCCGGAAUAUGCAUGCUCCUCCAUCACCGUUAGUAGAGAACUACUUGUGGGAAGCGGGUUUUUGGCACGUGGCGACGGUAGUCCGGGGAUGCAAGUUGGACCCGAAACUGAUUAGUGCGUUGAUCGAGAGGUGGAGACCCGAGACGCACACAUUCCAUCUUCCAUGUGGAGAGUGCACUAUCACUCUAGAAGAUGUCAGUCUGCAGUUGGGAUUGCCGGUGGACGGGCACCCAGUCACUGGGUCUGCCCAAUCUAGUAAUUGGGAGGCAGUGUGCUACGAGCUUUUGGGCGCUAUUCCGGAUAAAAUGGAUGGAGGUAAGGUCGAGAUGGGCUGGUUACGUGCCACCUUCCCCGAUCCGAAUGCAAAUUCAACUGAAAUUGAAAGAAUCUGAUAUGCUCGAUCAUACAUUUUUCAAAUAAUUGGAGGUUAUCUGAUGCCCGACACAUCACAGAGCCGUGUACAUCUAAGGUGGCUGCUAAAACUCGUUGAUUUUAGAGGAGCUGGUGAAUUUAGUUGGGGGUCUGCCGUCUUGACAACAUUAUAUCGGGAGAUGUGCGAUGUGACGCGACCGAGGAGAGAAAACAUCGGAGGUUGCCUGUCACUACUGCAAUCAUGGGCACGGUUUCGCUUUCCAUUUCUACAUCCUCGAGUGAACCACCCAUAUACAUUCCCACUCGUAACGAGGUAAAUUUUAUAUUACAUUUUGGAAUUAUUAUGUAGAUUUUGUAAGAAUAAAACUAUGCUAAAUAUUUAUUUAAUUAGGUGGAACCAUCAGGCAAGUUAUCGAGGAUUACCGUCUGAACUUGAAGAUAUACGGCUUCUAUUGGAGCAACGGUCGGAAGCAGAAGUAAGUAUUAUUGCAAAUAGAUAUUUCUAUACAUUCGCUAGUCGAUUGAUAUUUAGUAUUUAGUAUUUAGUAUUAUGUAUAUAACUAAUAUUUCUAUCAUGUUCAUAUAGUUUCAAUGGACACCAUACGAGGAUCCGGCAAUUCGAGUAGUAAUCUAGGAAGAGUUUUUACAAAAUCUGAACGCUUGGCACGCGAAAGUGGUGUUGAUCAACUAUGCAACCGUGGAGCCCCACCAGACAGACAGAGUGCUACGACAGUUUGGAUGUAGACAACCGAUUCCUGCGGACCUUGAGGUGUUUGACGAUCACCACAAAAUCGACCUUCGGCUAUUAGGUAUGGAUUGGCCUAGAUACUGGUCCGAGUACACACAAAUGUGGGAAAAUCGGCUUGAAUAUCUACCUACUCGGGAAGAAAUCAUCGUUCCGGAGUUAGCGUGCGUUCCAGAAUACAUGCCAUAGUUUAGGAUCCAUGGCAAGCCGUAUUUACUUAAGCCAGAGGAUAGGCAGCGGCAAAUACGUGUCGGCAGGGAAAGGCGCGGGCCUCUAAAUCCAAGACAAGAAUACUACGAAGGCAGCCCCUCAACGAGGCCCAGACAGUCACCGGCUCAUCAUCAGCAGCCAUGCAAUCACCGUCCCUAAUGAGAGCACCGACGCAGUCACCUGGCGCAGCAAUUCAACAGAUGAUACCCACGCAACCGCCUUUCCCUAUGAUGCCAGGUGUGUUUCCUAGCCCUUAUAUGUACCCUAACCCUUACAUGUAUCCUUUUCCGAAUCCUAUGGCAGGUUGGAGCCAAAUGCCCGGUUCAGCUCCAUUUCCUGUUAUGCCGAGCGGACCGUCGAUAUCUAGGCCAGCGGCGCAGGAGGGAUCGCAAGGGGGGCCGUCGGGGAGCUCUCCUUUUUACCAAUCGCCACCAACGUAUGGCUUUCAAACACCGUUGUCGUUCAUGAUGCAAACACCUCCACAUACACUAUUCUUUGAAGGUGGAUCAUCGUCCCAAGUCCGACAACCAGAUGCCGAACCGGAAGAACCACAAUCACCACCGAAGGAAGAACAACCGCCGCCGGAAGCUAGAGGAAGGAGGAAUCUAGCGCGUAACCGUCGACGGCCGCCAUGUGCAACUGAAUCCCUCGGGCAUAGACAUUGAUUGCCGUAUUUAAAUUUAUUAUUUGAUGUAAUAAAAUAGAAGUUUAUUUGAUGUAAUACGUAUAGAAAUUUUUUCGAGUUAUUUUGAUAUUAUUUGAUGUAAUAAAAUAGAAGUUUAUUUGAUAUAAUAGGCAUAGAAAUUUUUUCGAGUUAUUUUGAUAUUAUUUGAUAUAAUAAAAUAGAAGUUCUAUUUGAUGUAAUAAAAACCAUAAUUUAAUUAAAAACCCUAACCAUAACCUAACUUAAUUAAAAACCCUAACCCUAACCUAAUUUAAUUAAAACCCUAACCCUAACCUAACUUAAUUAAAAACCCUAACCCUAACCAAACUUAAUUAAAAACCCUAACCCUAACCUAACUUAAUUAAAAACCCUAGCCCUAACCUAAUUUUACAUAAUUUGAUAAUUUUACUAACCAUUAACACAAUUUUUGGACUUAAUAAUUUUACAUAAUUUGAUAAUUUUACUAACCAUUAACAAAAAUUUUUUUGGCUUAAUAAUUUUACAUAAAUUUACAUAAUGUUAGAUUUGGUAAAAUAUUUUGACUGGUACUAACAAUUAAGAAAUUAAAAUAAUUUGAUAAUUUUACUAACAAUUAAUACAAUUAUCAAUUAAUAAUUGAAUAAAAUAUAUUUUUUUCUAAAAUUACAUUCAACUAUUGCGAUUAGGGCAUGAUCGACUUGUAUGGCCUGGGUUCCUACACCAUCCGCACAACUUCUGUUGACUGGUUGUUUCUCGGAUAUCCAUAUUGUUCCGUAUUCUAGUGGAGCACGGUCGACCCUUUAGUUUGCGACGCAAUUCUCUAUCCGGUAACAGCUUAAAAAGAGCAAGAGAUACGGGCGGCCACUUACGUUCAUCUGGGACCGGUGGGAAAACGUGUCUCCAUACGUUGUACAUGUUUUCUAAUUUGUACACUUCGUCCACAUAACUCAUCGAAUCCAGACGGAGUUUCUGACAAGCUGCAAUAACAUGAGCGCAUGGAUAGCGAAGUACAUCAAACUUCCCACUGUCACAAGUCCUGUUUUGCAAGUGUACACGAUAUUGUCCGCCAACAACACCUUGGUGCGGUCUGUCAAACUCUGUCACACGAAACCAUAAAUUGUCUCGAUCGUGACACACUGUGUGCAUGAUGUUUGCCCUCGCCUUCGCCUUGUUAAUUUCUUGAACUACCUUACUGCACCAUACAUGGCCACCCUGCAUCUGGCCUGCAUAAGUUGCUGCUCGCUUUGGAAAUAGCGCCGCCAAACGGAAAUAUGUCUCUUGCACAACCGAUGUUAUCGGUAGAUGGCACGUUCCUUUAAUAACAGAAUUUAUGCAUUCUGCCAGGUUUGAUGUCAUAUGGCCAUAUCUCAGGCCUCCGUCGUAUGCUUGUACCCACUGUUCGAAACGUAUGUUACAAAGGUAGUCUGCCCCUUCUCCGUUUUGGGAUCGUAAAAUUACCAACAUCUCGUGAAAACGAUCUUUAUUUAUUUCAUACCCCGCCAAUAUAAGAUUAUAGCGAAUAUUUUAUACCACUUCUACCAAUAAAACUAAUUCAAAUUGACAAACGAAAUAAUAUAGUUAUAGACUAAAUACCCAUAUUGGUCACUUGUCGUCGUUCGCUCUUAGAUGGAUAUUGCUUGUAGUAGUUCGAAGCAGCGUAUCUUAGGCAAUAUCUAUGGUGUGUGCGCUGCCACAAGCUUCCCUGUCGAUCAAAUGUAGCAGUAUACCGGCGCCCCGAUCUGAAAUAACAUAGAUAUCAGGUUGGGGGCACACAUGCCUCCUUAACCUAGAGAGAAAGAAAUCCCAGUCAUCAGACGACUCCCCCGGUGUUAUUGCAAAUGCAAUUGGAAGAAUUUUCCCACCGCCGUCCUGUGCCACUGCAACCAAUAGCCGAUGAGUAUACCUACCGAACAUGAAGGUACCGUCAAUUUGUACCAAUGGCUUGCAGUAUGGAAAUGCGUCUCGGCAUUGCUUAAAGGUCCAAAAUAGGCGUUUGAACACUUGACAUCCACGUAGCAAUCGGCCGUUGUAGUACGCAUGUUUCGUUUCAAGGUCUGUGAUGGCACCUAGGACGUAUCUCUCUAGCACCUGACACCACUGUCAUAUUUCAUUAUAUGAGGCGUCCCACCCACUAUGCAUCUUCUCCAACGCCUUUUGCUUAGCUAUCCAAGCCUUGCGGUAAGAGGGCGUGUACCCCAUUUGGCUACGAAUAUUGGCAACUAUCACCAGCACUGAAGUCCUAGGAUCUGCUUUUAUCAUGGGCAGUAUCAAGCUAUCUAACAUAGCUGAAUCCAUUUUGGGAUGAUCUUGUGAAACACCUACAGAGGGAGUACAUUAAAUAAUGCAACAUUGCAAAAUAAAAUAAUUAUUUAGAUACAUUAAAUCAUGUACCUGCAGCACAUGUAUGUGGACCUUUGUACUUUUUAAUCUCCCACAACCUUGUCCUUUUCCUUAACGAGACGACGAUUUUCCAUGAACAUGUGCCGUCUUGCACCGCACACUUCGCCUCAAACUUAUCAGAUUUUAAUUUAACGACGUGGUCAUUAACGCCGUUUUUGAUGCUAUGCUGUUUCAAAGCACCAAUAAAACUAUCCUUGUUGGUAAACUGAUUACCAACUUCAAGUUCACCGAAAUUUACCCCCGAACUUGUACGAUCGCACAACCGGUGUGGUAGAUCUGGAAACUCUAACGCAUCAUCUGCUGACAGAUCGACAUUAUGCAUGUGGGCUGGAGGUGAGUAUGCUCUGAAUCGUGAAUUUUCUUCAUCAUCUGAACUCCUUUCAGCAUCUUCACCUUCUGUUGGAAUAGGCUCCGGUUCAGAAAAUAAUCUCACUUCUGCACCAUCCUGCCCGGGCUCUCGAGGUGGAUCCACAUCGGAGUCAUCUUCUAACCCACAAUCAUCUGCAGCGUACGACGUCCCUUCACCGGUUGACGUCGUAGGUAGUACGUCAUCCCUUCUUCUGGGCAUUUGAUAACGUUUCCAAUUAGAUGUAGAUUGCCAUCCACUAGAACUUGAUGUAGUUCCCCAGUACGUAUUUCCAGCAUCAAACGUCGAGCCACCGACAUAUAUGUCCCAUCCACCGACAGAGUGUCUUGCGGGGGAUGCAUUCGACAGCGCUACCGAACAUGGGCUGUUCUAUAUUUUGUAACCCGCUAACCGAGUGUCGGCCAGGGGUCGUGUAUACAUCUCAAACACCAGACGGAAGUACAUCAGUUGGCAACGUAAAUUGUACAUAUAACUCAAUAUAAGUUGCUCCACUAGCAAGAUGAGUCUCCACCAUUGCCUCAAAGCUACGAGCACAUUUUCUGUCGAACGAGUCAUAUGUCACCGGAUCAACACAAGAACAAAAUCGAUACGUGAUUGACAAAACUUUCAUUGGCAUCGUUCCGAAGAUUUUACGCCUAAUUCUUUUACGAAGUUCUGUCAAAUCUAUGUUCUGGUUAAAUGACAGUCACACCGUAUUCUCCGACUAAAGAACAACACCAUUCUCGGUGUGGCAAACCUCACCAUCGUAGUAAAUAACAGCACUAAUACAUUCACUCAUUUUGAAACUCUAACUUUCUUAGCCUCUCUAAAUUGUUUCUGCUAUGACUUAUGCAUUCUAAGAACAUUUUCUGCCUAAUUUAUAGCCUCAGCUCAAACUUGCUACUGCAGCAAAAUCGCGUCCACGAGGGCGUGAUUUCACAAUUUCUUCUCAAAUAGCAUCCUGGUACAAGCGAUUUUAUACUAUUUGCUCAGAAACGUCAAAAAAAAUUAUUUCUUACAUGACCUACUGUAGCAAAAUCGCGUCCACGAGGGCGCGAUUUCACAAUUUCUUCUCAAAUAGCAUCAUGGUACUAGCGAUUUUAUACUAUUUGCUCAGAAACGUAAAAAAAAUUAUUUCUUACAUGACCUACUGUAGCAAAAUCGCGUCCACGAGGGCGCGAUUUCACAAUUUCUUCUCAAAUAGCAUCCUGGUAGAAGCGAUUUUAUACUAUUUGACCAGAAACGUCAACUUAAAAUAAUUUAUUCCGGGACCUAAAAAUCCUAAAAAGCCUGAACCCUAAACCCUAAAAGCCAAAAAAACCAAACGUGAAAAAAAAGUCAAAAUCACGUCCCCCGGAAUGUGCUACGUGGCAGGACAUCGCGUCCACUUCAGCGCGACCUACUGACGUGGAAGGAAAUCACUCCCUCAAGGACGCGAUUUCCUUCCAUGUCAGCAGGUCACGCUGACGUGGACGCGAUGUCCUGACACGUACCCUGACAUCGCUCUGACGUGGACGCGAUUUCCCGAAAAAUGGACCAUUCCGGUAAAUAAUAAAAAAAUCGGUCUAUUUCGGUAAAUUUUGAAAAAAAAACGGCUUUUUUUGGUAAAUUACCCAAAAAUAUAAGCAAUUUUACAAUAUUCGUGGUGGGAACAUAUCCCAUCACCAACUUUUCAUAACUUCUUUUUCCCAUUUUAUAAAAUGUCUAUAGAUUAAGUACUGGCUCUUCAAUUUUCUAAGUAUUCAUUGUCUUACCCCUUUCUUGGGUUUGGUUUGGGAAGGUUGCUUGACUUCGUUGUGCAAUUUAAAGUCUUUCCAAUUUGUCGUUUUAGAAGUGAUCGGAAAAUUUGCACUUCUUCAUGUACUAGAAGAAAAGUGAUUGGGUUCAAAGAAUAAAAACAGGGAUAGAUUAUUUACAUAGUUUAGUUUUUCUAUUCCUACAGAGCCUACGUUAUGAGGAAUAGUUUAGUUUAUGUUGUAGUUUCUUCCUGCAAGAUUACAAAUUUUUUUAAUGUGAUUUACGUAGAAACUACGAAAUUUAUUAUAGGAUGUGAUAAUAUAAUUCUAUAAUUAUUGCUUAAAUUUUUUCUUUCUAAAUUUCAUAUUUCUUAAGAAAUUACAGUAAUAAAUUUUACAUAGAAAUAAUAUGUAGUAUUGAAAUUAAAUUGCAGUUGUACAAAGGUUACAACUUUUUUAUUAAAUUAUUAAAAUUAUUAGAGAACAUGAUAAAAUUAAAUGAGAACCUUUUUAUCAAAGUGACAAGUGAGCAGUCGCUUUGAAGAAUAUAAAUAACCCUUCCGCUUGCUUAAUUUGUGUUUCUAUUGACUAAAAAAAUUUUGAACAAAAAGGAUAUUGACUAAAAAUUAAAAUAACCAUGAAAUCUUUUACAACAUUCAACGAGGUUGAAAGAUUUUAUUUUUAAUUUUUUUUAAAUAAUAACUUAUUUGGCUUCUAAUUUUAUAAAAAAAUUAUUUUUUAUUCCUUAAAACUUAUAUUAUUUAUCAACAUUGGCUUACUCCUUCGUUGGGUUUGGUUUGGGACGGCUGCUUGACUUCGUUGUGCAAUCUAAAGUCUUUCCACUUUGUCGUUUUAAAAGUCUGCAUAUCGGAGAAUAUCACAAUUGAGAAAGAAUUAUAUAUUGCUGUGAAACUGAACGUAGUUGCUAAUAUAUACGUUAAGUGAUUAAAAACUUGGCACCUCUUCAAGUGCGGGAAGAAGUGAUUGCGAAGUUGACACUUUUUCUAAGUUAUUAAAAAAAAUAAAUAGGAGACACAUAUUGUUUACUUAGUUUGGUUUCUUACGUUUGCGGAUCUUAGUUUAGUGAAAAAUAUCUACUAUCUCCAACAUUUAUAAUGAGUGAUCUUAAAUCUAUCACAACUCACUACAAUUUCCUCACUUUUGUACUUUUGAAAAUCGGUACUUUCAUCACUAAAUUCACUCCUGUGAACUUAAUUUAUAAAAUCACAACACACAAGUUUUACAAUCAAAUGCACUCUUACAAACAAUAUUCUUCGCUUAAACAGACCAAGUUCUCUCAAUUCUCUAUACAAUCACCUAUACAAGUCUCUCAAUUAUAAAUAGAUUUCGAGAUUUACUAACAUAAUGAAAAUCUAUAUCAAUCUCUAUUAAACAACAACUAAACUAGUUGAAUAAAUUAUAAUAAUAAAUAAGGUAAACAAGGAUUGUUGGCAGCUAAGUCUUCUACGUUCCAAUUCGAUUCAACUUUCUCGAUCCAAGCGAUUAGAUAUACAUGGUCCGAUCCAAUCCGAUCCCUUAAACAUGUUUCCUGAAGUGAUAUGAUCUGUAACACCCCAAACCCAGCCUAACGUUAUAUAUGGUCUAACAUAUAAUAAAAUUUAUUAUUUAUAAAAUAAACUAAAAAUAAAAAGAGAGAAAAGUUUGAAUAUGGUUUAAAUAUUGUUUGUGAGGUUUUUUUAAAAAAUAUUUUAUUUAUAAAAAUAUUAUUUUAAGAAAUAAAUGUUAUGUUAGAAAGAAGAGAAAAUGGGUAUUCAUGUGUAUUUAUAAUUGUGUUAUGUAUUGUUAUAAAAAUUUAUGUGUUUUUAUAAAAAAAAAACUUUUACAUAUUUUGAAUUUUUAAGAAGUAAAACUACAUUGACAAAAUGUAUAAAAUUGAGAGCUAAAUUUGUUGAUUUUUUAGAGUUAAAGCUAAAUUGAUAGAAUCUGUCAACAUUAGAGGGUUAAAUUUGUUAUUAUAUUAAUAAAAAAUGCCACCGUUAAUGAUUUAACAGAGGAACAACAAAAAUAUUAAAAUUUGAUAAUAUUAAUGAAUGAAAUAAAAAUUUUUAAACUUAAAUGACCAAAAUAGAAACACACUAAUAAUUAGAUAAACUAUUUUUUUUACUUUUCCCUAGAUUUAAUAAUGUUACCCGAUUUUCCAUGAUUCCUCCAUUUUCUUACCCCUUUCUUGGGGUUGGGACCCGGCUUCACUUUAUUUGUGCAAUCUAAAGGCCUUUCAACUAUGUCAACAAUUGCUUAUGAACUUAUAAUGCGAAACCUUAAGCAAUUGGACAACGAAGCUAUCACUUUUCUUCUUCAAGGAUAAUUAAGAUGGGUCCGGCAUGGUCACUAAAUUUCCAUCACUUUUUGGCCAUUUUCUUUUCUAUGUUUUGCACAUUUUUAAAUCUCUAUACAUUCAAUAAUGCUCCCCAAUUGAAGGUUCUUCUUUUUCAAACCUCGUCUUUUACUCGACUUUGUUGUGCAAUUUAAAGUCUUUCAGCUUUGUUGUUUGGGUAACUUAUAAAAAUAGUCACUUAAUUUUAGUUAAAUUUAUUUUCUCACUGAAUUAUAAAAAAAUUACAUUUUAGUCACUAACAGUAUCGAGUUAUAACGUUUUGGUCACUCAUCCAUUAACCGCCAUUUUAUCCUUAAGGAAAAGUGCCGUUAACUCAAGGGUUAAUAUUUAAUUUGACCUUUGAACUAUAGUUAAAACAUUCAACUUGGUCAUAAUUUAUUAAAAAAUAUUAAAAAUAAAAAAUUUAAAAAUUUAUUUAUUGUUUGAUACUAUAAAAAAUAUAUAUUUUGAAAUUGUAAUUAUGUAAUGUUUUAAAAAACCAUAGAAUCCUUUAAAUUUAAAUUAUAUUAGAAAUCCUAUCACAGUUGUGCACAUGUGGCAAUCAUGAAUUUAGAACAUAGAUUUGUGUUUAAAAAUGAAAUCCAAUAAAUAAUGAAAUCGUAUAGUUUGAAACUAAUUAAUCAUAAUAACACAUGAAAUAUGUAUGAUAUUAAAGUUAAAAAAUUAGAUUAAAUUGUGAGUAAAACUAAACUUAAACAUAUAAAUACAUUAAAUUAACAAUACUAAACCAACUCAACUAAUAACAUUAUUAAUAUAUACAAUGGAUGAAGUGUGCAUAAUAAAAUUAAAUUGUAUAUGAAAAAAUCAAAAUAAAACUUUGGUUGAGUGGUUAAUUUAGGGUUUUGCUAAUGUGAUUGACGUAGAUAUUAUAAUAUGUAUAUUUUUUAUUUUUUUAAGAAAGUAAAAGAUUAAAGUACCCCCGAAUAAUAUAAUUUAUUUAAUUACAAAAGAACAUUUCCAUAAUUUCUCUAACCGAGUUGAUGCUCGUCUAACUCGUAAUAUCAACUCAAUCAAAGACUUAAAAUAAUGGUAUAGAUAAAAAUGUAGAUUGAGUCAUGGUUAUCUGAACCUAUUGAACUGGCAAUGAUACCAGUCUGGAGAGAGGCAUUAGAUCAGUUCACUCGCAAACCAGUACAGACCAAUAUUAGAACUAGACUAAAAAACUGAUUGAAUCGUUUUUUUAAUAUUUUAAUAAUUUGUAAUCCAACUAUACAAACCAAUAUUUCAACCACCAUUUUAGUUCUAAAAACUUUGCUUAAAGUAUAUUUAAUUUUUAAUUAUUUACUUUAUAAUUCUACACAAAUACAUAAUUACCGCAGCUUCAGAACAGACGAGGACUAAGAAAAAGAAUCAGCUAAUUUUACUGAUUGCAAUUCUAUGAGUAACGCAGCAAACUUAGCUUUCUUUAAUUUCGUCUCACACUAAUAAUUUGUAUCUAUGAUUUAACUUGGACAAGAUCUUUAUCAAGUUGUUUUUUAUGCAAUUGACUAAUAAAAUUCCAUAUUGAGCCAUCGAAUUUACGAGAAAUGGAUACAACAAUGACUUCAAAAUAAAUUGGACUUUUUAUUUUGCAAUUCACUUUUAUAGUUUCAAUAAUGGCCAACCAAUUUUCCAUGACUUUUAUAGCUUGACUUAAGUUGUGCAAUCUAAAGUCUUUUUCUAAACCGUGAGAACAGAAGAAAACAUAUGAGCAGCCAUUGUUGAAGUCCCAUGUUCGGCCAAGCUUCUCAUUUUACACGGUGAGUAAUUUUAAUCUCGUUUUUCAUGAAUUUUAUAUUUUUGAGAUUAUUGUAAUUUUAAUCUAGUUUAGCUAACUCAAGUGUUAAUUUUUGAAACUGUUAAAAUUUCUAAAUGUUACUAUUGAUGAAUGAUUGAUGAAAUUAGUAUUAAUUGAUUAGAUUUUUCUGCUUAGAUAUGAAAAAGGCUUAAUUAUCAAUUAUCAAUUCCAAAUAAAAAAUAUUAUUGAUAUUUUCUAUUAUGAAAACCCAUUCUCAAUGUGUUGAAUCGUUGAACAAGUAAUUUUUACUUCUAUUGUGGCAAAUUCAAUGGAGGGAGUUAUCUUCUUAUUUCUACCAUAAAAAGUUUCUCAAUAAAUUUCAUUGGGUGAAAAUUUUGAGUUAGAUUAGAGUGCUUCAAAAUCUCAUGGCAAUUAACAAAUUACGUGAAUGUGUGUGAAAAUAGGAAGGAUAUUAGUAGUUCACCUCUAAUUGCUUAGGCAUGAUACUCGUUGUGAAAAUAGGAAGUUUCUCAACAAUUCCCAUGAUACUUGUUGGAUAACUCGAUCAUCUUUUUUACAGGAUGUAAACUUUUCUAAAUGAUAAGGAAAGGAAAAGAAAACUUAGGCAAUUCAAUUUAAGUAGUUCACAUUUAAUUGCCUACCUCCACUUAGUAUCCUUUAAUCAAAUAAUUUCUCAAAUUACUAUAAGAAUUUGUACCUUUCGAGGAGAAGGUAUAACAUUUACAGCACUAUCUUUUUCUUAAGGCUUAGAUAUAACCUUUCCCUCUAGCUUUUAUAGUUGUUGUAUAGUCGUCGUUGGCAAGUCAUGUCUCGAGACAAUUUAUCAAUUGUCUUUAGACACACUGCACUAUAUCUCAAGACAAGUAGCUCCUAUCAAUUGGUACAAGCCAGUAUGAACUAGUAUAAGUUAGUAUUGACUGAAACGAGCUUAAACAUACUGGAAUUGUCAAAACACAUCAAAAUCUUAACCAUAAUGAAGCCUAUACUAUUUAGUAUUGGUUGAAGACCAGAAAGAUACGCAUCGAGUGUGUUAAAUGUUGAUGUCCUUUUUAUGUACUGUUUAUAUUUUUGUUCUUUUAAUAAUAUUUGUUUGGCUUAUAAAAAUUAUUUUUAUUAAAAUAAAAUAAAUGAAAAGCUUAUGCAAAGACUAAAAAAAGAUAUCAAAAUUUGCUAUGUUUUGAUAUUGGGCAUUUAAUAAUUUGUACCUAUAUUUAAAAAAAAAUUGUACCAAUACAAUUUCAUAAAAUUAGUACAAAUGGUCAUCAAAAUUCAGCGUAACUUCCUAAAUAUAUUGCUAAUUGAUAUAAUUGAGAACGGUUAUGCGGUUGAUAAUAAUCUUUUUGAACUUCGUUUAGUACAUGAUUUAUGCAAGUAAUAUUGGCAACUUAAGUUUCGGCAUGUCCUGCGAGAACAUAAGAGACUGACAGAUUGCAUGACCAAAGUUGUUCUUAGUAAUCUUAAUAGGUUAACAACUUUUGAAGACCCAGCUAAUCAUGCUCGAUCUUUGUUAGAAGAAGAUGCUCAUCGAGCAAUGAUUAAUAUAGACUCUCAUCAACCUAAUUGUAGCUAAUUCCUUGAACUUGUUUCUUUUUUAAAAAAAUUCACAAAAUGCAGAAAUAACUAUUAAUAAACUUUUUAGGAAAACAGAGCAUCUGUAUAAAUAUUUAUCAAAGACAUUGCUAGAAAGCAAAGCUUAUGUUUAUUUUAGUCAAUUUAACAAUGGCCACUUCAUCGAACGCGUUGCAUAUCCCUUGAUAACUUUACUUUGAUCUUCUUUAACUUUGUAACAACCUCUUUCAUAUGAAGCCUCUCAUUUGGUAACUCUGCAGAACAUUCUAAGCCAACUUGCAAAAUGGAUAAGGCACAAUUCUUGACUUUUAAAUGUUCCCUUCCAAUGGUGCUCAACAACUUGGGAUCUACAACUUGAUUUCGCGAAGAUGAUAUCGACUCUAUCACCCAACUCUUCAAGCUUCUUUCUCCUUCAAACAUUUCAUCUGUGGGCUUUUUUCUUGUGAUGAUUUCCAUCAAAAGAAUACCAAAGCUAUACACAUCACCUUUUGUCGAAACAAUUCCUUCGAUUCCAUAUUCUGUGUAUGAAUAUAAAAACAACAUUAUGAAUAUUCAAAGAUAUCUUGAUAAUGAAAAAUCCGUAUAAAAUGUACGAAACAUUAUAUGCUUGCAUGUUAUAAUUGAACUGGGAUUUAAUCUAGUUGCUUCCUUAAAAAGUCACAUUUAAUAUGUUUGAAACUCAAAUCUUAACAUAUAUGAUCCCUUUUGUUAUGCACAUGCUACGCUUACAUUGAAAAUGGAAAAAUAAACAUGGAGUUUGAUUAGAAGUAUCACCUGGUGCCAUAUAUCCAAAUGUUGCCAUUGUCAUGGUUUGUAUCAUUGAAACCUCUUCACGUAAGAGUUUCGCGAUGCCAAAAUCACUCAAAUGAGCAACCAUAUCUUCAUCUAAUAGAACAUUGUUGGGUUUUAAAUCACAGUGAACCACGGGUGUUGCAUUUUCAUGGUGGAGAUAUUCCAAUGCAGAUGCAACAUCUAUCAUUAUGUUCAACCUUUGUAAGAUAUCCAAAUAUUGGUUGUUGGAAUACAACCAUUUAUCAAGACUCCUAUUAGGCAUGAACUCAAGCACCAACGCUUUGAAAUUAAGAUCAUUAGAGCAACUGCUUAUUACUUUGACUAAAUUUCUGUGACGAGUGUUGCAGAGAACAUCACAUUCAACAUCAAAGCUCUUAAAAGCUCCUUCUAACUCUAACUUGAAGACCUUUACCGCAAUUACCGUCCCAUCCUGGAGAGUCCUUUGGAAUAGUGAACCAUAACUUCCAUUACCAAGCAACCUACUAUCAUUGAAUCCAUCAGUAGCUUGACGAAGCUCGUGGUAUGAAAACCGUCUCCACGUUCCUAAAGGUAUCAUGUCUUCUUGAGUUGGCAAUUUGUCUUUCCUCCUAUUUUACAAGAUAAUGAUUAUCAGAGCCACAACCAAAAUUGUGGAGGCAAUUGGCAGAGCUACAUAUAUUAUGAGCUUCAGCUUAGUUUUUGCCUUGGAAUUUCUAAGAGGUCUUGUUUUGCAGUUUGGAACAUGAAGUCGAGUUGCACCACACAAGGCUUCAUUACCCUUAAAUGAUUCGAUUGUGUAGUUUCCAAAUGAUCCUCCUUCAGGAAUUUUUCCUUCAAGUCUAUUAAAAGAGACAUUGAAAUAUUUGAGAUAACGGAGUUUCUUUAAGGAUUUGGGAAUCUCUCCAGAUAGAUUAUUUCUUGACAAGUCCAAGAAUUCCAAACUCAACAAUUCAUCAAAAGACUCAGGAAUAGAACCCAUGAUUCUAUUAUUGGAAAAGGAAAAAUGAGUGAGGUCCUUGAGAUCUGCAACUCCAGUUGGGAUAUCACCUGAGAACUGAUUGUUCGACAAAUCCAAACUAGUCAAAACUUUCCAUUUUCCAAUGUCAGUUGGCAGUGGACCACUUAGAGAAUUUGAAGACAAGUAUAGGAUGAGGAGAUAGUUAAGCCUUGUCAACGUGGAAGGUAUUGAGGAGGAAAACUUAUUGGAGUCUAGAAAUAGUUGCCUUAAUGAAGUGAGAUCACCUAAGCAAGCAGGUAUUGGUCCAGACAAUUUGUUAUUGGUCAAGAACAAGAAAGCCAAUUUGUUGAGA